GAAUGGACAAAAGAACCCAACCAAACUUAAUUUAAGGCUCAAACUAAAACCAAAAUUGAUAAGUAUUUAUACACUAAAUAUUUUGGGGCAGUUUCCAAAAAUAAUCCAAAAUGAAUUUGAAUGCAAAUCUAAAUUUUAAAUUCAAUCAAAUGCAAAAUAUCUGAUAUUCUUAAAAAAGGUUCUAAAAAACAAAAAAAAUAAAUAAAUAAAGGAUAAAACAAGAGGAACCGCUCCCUAAAAUAGGGCUUUUGGAAUUGAUAAGAACCUAUACGUGCCCUCUUGGUAUUGGUCGCCUCUCUUGGUCAUGCUUUUUGUUUUCUUUCUCAAAAAAUUUGUCGUCGUUCCUCGUUGUUGUUGAUCUUCAUGAAAUGGUCGUGCGUGAUGGAUCGACGAAUCUGGGUUUCCAAGAGCGUUCUGCAACUCUCGUUCAGCCAUGUCUGAUUUCUGCUGAUUUGGAUCUUUGAUCCUUGAGUUUUUAACAAAUUACGGUUUGACCCCAAAAACUUCUGUUUGUUAUAGAAAAGUCCUCAAAACUGUCCUAAAACUUCAAAUUGUGUUUUCCAGCCCUCUCUUUAUGAAAUAUGUACAAAUGCAACAUCUAAUGACACCUAAAUGCAACUUCUAAACAUUAAAAUUGAUCAAAAUUAAUAGCUAAAAACAUAUGAAAACACUAUACAUUAGUUGCUCUCUUUCUCCAAAACCGUCUAUGAAAUCAAGGUGAAAAUUCGAAUUCUUUGAGUCCGUGAUAAGACAAUACAUUAUGUUUUUUGUUACAAAAUGGUUAGUUGAGACUCUAAUGACAUUCUUGAUCUUUUGUUACACAAUUGUGACUCUUGUUUGUUACUGAACUUGCAGAUUUGUUGUAUGUCUUCUCCAACUUGUCUCGGAAUGUUAACUUCAUUGAACAUAUGAAGCUCACCGGAAUGUUAAAUUCGUUAUAUAAAUUUGUAUUUCUAUUUUUCAUAUGUUUUAUGCCAUAUUUGUUUAAAUGUUAUAAAAUCCAAUAAUUUAUAAGUUUUGUAAUAUUUAAAUUUAAUUUCAAAAAAAAAAAAGUUAAAAACCUCGUAGGGAUUCUUCCAUUGGACCUUCACACAACUAAUUACAUUAAUAUGAGUUUUAAACUUCAUAAAGUACAUAAUUAGCUAUUAAAUUAAUUUUAAGAAUCCAUUAAGGACUCUAACCAAUGGAGGUGGUCUUAAAGGACGAUAAAAUUACAACUGUUCUUUUAUGAUUAAACAAAACAAAAUUUUUUAUGAUUAAAAGAAAUAAAACUGUAGAAAAUUUUACGGUUAUAACCCUGAAAAAACUUCUCAAAAAGUCUAGGAAUAUACUUCUUGAGAAGUCUAUGAAAACACUUUUCGAGAAGUCUAUUCAUAUAUUUAAACUUGAAUUUAUAAAUAUUUUGCUGCUGUUUCAUUUUGUCCUGACUUAAGGUCAUAUGAACUUUCUUUUGCAGUAAACUAUGUAAUCCUUGUGUAGUGAACCAUGUUUAUAUUGGAAUUUUUCUAUUUGUGUAUUCUAAUAAUUUAGUUAAAACAAAUGUUCCAAUUUCUGGUUUGACCAACAACUAACGACAUAUCCACGAACAACACACCUUACGAAACAAUAGUCUGACCAAAUGAUACCAAAUAAAGAGAUGAAGAAGAGAUACAAAAAAGCUGUGACGUUUUCAUCAUAAAUGAAUCGCUGCGUGUUAGACAUAACGGCAAGCACACAUCUUUUAAUGGUGCUAUAGACGGAGGGGAUGAUUCAUUAAAAAAGAUUAUUUGUGGGGGGGGGGAGGGAAGGGAAGGGUUUGUACGGUAAAUCUUUAAUUGAGGGGUUUUUAUCCGAAAUAAACUUAAUUGAAGAGUUUUUGCAUUAAAAAUCCUAUAAUUAAUUGGGUUGAUUGUAACUUAUUUUAGCCGUUGAAUUUAAAAUAUCUUACACAAAUAAAUAAGCCAAAAUUUAGGCAAACAAUUAGCAGUCUAGAAGUCAAGUAGUACAUCACAUUGAUGGCCCUCUAUGUUAUGAUUUGUUUUUUUUUUAAUUGUGUGGGGGUUAUUUUUCUUUUAGGCAAGCUUUUGGGUCUCUGUCUAGUGUCUACCAUAUUUAUACAAUACUCAACUCUAUAUCUACGAUCUAUAUAUGUUACUCUUUAAAAAAGUUGAAGAGGGGUUUUUAUCCGAAAUAAACUUAAUUGAAGAGUUUUUGCAUUAAAAAUCCUAUAAUUAAUUGGGUUGAUUGUAACUUAUUUUAGCCGUUGAAUUUAAAAUAUCUUACACAAAUAAAUAAGCCAAAAUUUAGGCAAACAAUUAGCAGUCUAGAAGUCAAGUAGUACAUCACAUUGAUGGCCCUCUAUGUUAUGAUUUGUUUUUUUUUUUAAUUGUGUGGGGGUUAUUUUUCUUUUAGGCAAGCUUUUGGGUCUCUGUCUAGUGUCUACCAUAUUUAUACAAUACUCAACUCUAUAUCUACGAUCUAUAUAUGUUACUCUUUAAAAAAGUUGAAGAGGAAGCUAAUAUCCAUAUAUUUAAUUUAUGCAAUAUACCAACUGUGUGAAUAUAUAUUUAUAUGUAUGCACAUUCCUCUAUUCUACCGUAAUGACUUCAAAACUCUACUUUAUUUUCAAAAUAUAUAAUCUAUACAAUACUAAAAGGACUUGAGGGUCAUCAGCUAGCUAUGCCACAUAGGCAAAAAAUUCAUGGCCAAUUAAAUUGACAUCUCAGCUUUAAAAUCCAUGUCAUCCAACGAAAAGAAAAAAACCUACAAUUCAAUCGGCGAUUAUGAAUCGUUUCUUCACCCUCUUUCAUCAGUUCAGCCAUUAUAACUCCUUCAAAACAUACAAACCGACGAUAUGAAUCCACUCUCUUAUUCUAUAUAAGCCAAUGACGAUCCAAGUCCAUAAGUCCAAACUCACAGGUUUUGUUUCUUUAGCGUAUAUGUUUUCUGUAUUUAUACACAGGCUCAGUAUGUUAAUUAAUCAUCUCAUCGAAAGAGGAGCUCAGUGUAAGUAACAUUUAACAUCGCAUGCUUUGGAUACUACAAUGUAACAAGGCGUUCGUUGAUGUGGUUAAUCAGCUCGGUAGAUGUGAACGUGUGUAAGCUUUCUUCUCUUUGUUCUUGAAAAGUUAACAUCUCUUGGCUUCCUUAAAAAAUAAAAAAUUUGCUGGUUUGUUAACGAAAUUUAACAAUCAUUUAGAUCGUCUAGCUGAUGGAACUCAAGAUAGCGAUGGUAAAGGAUAAUAAAACUCAAAGACUGUUUAUCCUCGGAUGGAUAUGUUCCCAUAUGUGUCUUAGGGCGAAAGAUGGAUCUCUAUUCAGUAUACUCCUCUAUACUUAUGUUUUGAUUUUCAAAGUAUUGAAUUUUUUUGUGUUUUCUCCACUCAUCUCCUAAUGUUGUUGUCAUCUCUUCUUACCACAGAGGAGAUCCUGGAUAACUGGUCUAGGUCAGAAGAUAUUCAGUCAUAACGGUCUCUGGAUCGCUUCUUUGUGAUUCAUGGUAUGUGAUGUUUCUCAUAUAGUUAGUUUCACCAUUUGCAUUUUUUUUUUUUUUUGGAACAACCAUUUGCAUUUUAAAACUGAUAUUUUCUGUUGCAACAUCAAAUAUAUUUGAUUCAUUUGGUGAGCAGAUUCCAAUUCUGUCAUACGUGUAUCUGAGAGUGAAGGAGAUAUGAGCAGAACUGGACAUAGAAAGGUCUCUGACAAACAAAAAGGAGAUAUGUCUAACGGGGAGUGUAGACCAUCACUAGAUGGAGAUUAGACCCCGAAUAGUCAAUUUGCAACUCAGAGUGGUGACCAAGACUGUCCUGGUAAGACGGUUUGAAUUAAAAAAAAUGUAUGUAACAGUGAAUCGAUCUUGAGAAUGGAAGAUCGUAAGAGACGUACAAAAUAAUUUCUUUUGAACUUCCAUAAGUCUCAUUUCUUUGUCAUGAAUGCAUAGUCUAGUGAGCUACGUUGGUCAAAGAAAUGCUAUGUGGUCGCAUGUACAAAUUUAGAUGAAAACAAGAUUAUUUGGAAAAAGGAGGAGGCUUUGAUGAUCCUUACAUUGAUUUCAGUUGUGCGAACAUUGCUUCUAAGUUCACUGCGAAAAGCACAAGGCAGUGUAGAAGAAGGUUUGGUUACAAUGAUGUAUUUCUGGGUUUUAUUUUAACGCCUAAAAUGAGUUUUUAUUUUAUUUUGCAGAUGGUGUACAUAUACCUUACGACUAUGAUCCUCUGAAGAAGAUGCACUUCUGUGUGUGGUUAGAUAUUUUUAAUCACAUACGUUUAUAGAGUUGGCACCCGAAGAAGAUGCAUGCUACACCAGUUUCUUAAGUUCGGCUUUCAUUGAGGUUUGAUUACCUUUUUCCUGGAUGCAUCAUGUUUGUUGUUAUAUUGACAUCAUCUUGAUAGAUGUCUUAGCUUAGAAACACUGAUCUGAGAAGUCUAUUACAGAUGGCUCGACCAAUAAAGACUAAAUUUGUGUAAGUAAGAAAAGCUCAGUCCACACCAGAAAUUUGAAGAUGCUAGAGUCUAAGGUAUCUCUAUAAUCUAAUGUCUAAUAUUAUAAUUAAAUUAAUUUCUUCUGAUUUUCUUAUUACAGUUAUCAUCCCUAUAAUUGUUCAUAUUGAGCUGUUGCAAAUAUGAAUAUUUUCAGUUGAUUUUUUUGUUCUGAUGGCUUAAACGAUCAUCUCCAACAAUCCCGUUGUCAUUCAUGUCCUUUCACGUUCUCUUUUCUGUUUUGAAAUUAGUCCUGCAAAUUCAAGGUAAUAUCAGUAGUGGUAUAGCUUUGCAGAAUCUUUGGAAAACAUGUUCUCUUAUACUGUGUUGCAGUUCUUAGUCUACAUUGAUUCAUUAGCUUCUUAUAAAGUUGCUUGGUACUGUUAUGAGAAAAAAAAUUGAUUUUAGAAAUUUCAAAUCUAGCAAAGUAACGGAAAGAAUAUGAUUGGGACCCUGUUUCUUAAUACUCCAAGAGAAUCCCGGUGUUCAGAUCGCAUACCGGUUUGUGAAAUAUUUACAGUAGAAUUUGGUACGAAGAGUCUGAACAAAGGUAAAUUCAGGAAGGGUAUUCUUGCGCAGCUACAUGAUUUGUUGAAGAUUGCCUCUACAAAAGCAUAGUUUUAACUACGAUUAUUACCGUUCUUUUUGAGAACGAAAUAUAUGAUUUGGAAAAGUACUUUUUUUUUCUUCAUUGUAUAGCUAUAUGUUUUUUUUAGCAUUAGCCAUCAUGAUACAUAUAUAAAGAUACUUUAAUGUUAUCAGAUGAGAUCAGUUUACAUAUGGAGUUAAAAUCUUAGUGGCUGCUAUUGAACUCUCCUAUAGUCCUAUUGACACUCAACCUUCCACUGAAUCCAACUAUGACAGCUGCAAAAUCCAACUGAUUUCUCCCAAAGAAGAAAAAGAUGACGAUGAGGUCUCAUAACUUGAUCAAUAACUAUUUAUGCUUAUAAUAAUGAGUAAUGACUGUGUAUUAUUAGUGUGUAACAGGUUACGAGGUGAAGAAAGUUAAAGAAGAGUCAUUUUAUUAUCACAUAAGUCAACUUAAGACAACGAGUAACGACUCUAAAUGAUAUAAAUUCUGAAUAAUGAAGGGGAGAAAGAAAUAUAGAAAAGGAGAAAACUAAAAAUAAAAUUAAAAGUAAAGUUUUGUUUUGUUUUAAAUAGAGAAAAUAUUACCCUACAAUUAUUCUUUUUGGAGUAAAUAAGCCUAGCAUUAUUUUCACUUGAUUGGUUGAAAAUGAAGUAAUUUAGCUGAAAAUAUUUAUUCUAACUUAUAUACUUUAGGGAUGUUAUAAGAAAAAACGGUUGUCAAAAGAAAAGUUAUAAGAAAAAACAUUCAAUAUUUUUUCUAUCUGCAAAUUCUUUUAAUUUUAACUAAAAUUAAUAAAUAAAUUUAUAAUAUGUAAUCCGCGCGUAGCGCGGAAACGGACCUAGUAGAGUUAAUAGCUCUAGUUAAGGUGGUAGAUUAUAGUCUGAGCUACAUUCACUAUAGGUAUAAACAAAGGUGUUUUUUUUUUUGUGAGAGAGUAGUGAGUAUUAGUACUUGGGGAGUUUAGAAACAAAUUCAGACCCCAAAAGCCUAACAUCCAUCGAUAAUUUGUUGAUUUAACAAAGCUGUGAGUUCUCAUGGAAAAUAUAUAAGGACAUGUGUCAGUAAACUCCCUUUUCACUAAGAAAGAGAAAAAUCUCUACUUUAGUACAGAUAAAUUACUUUUCGAUUAGGAAUAUAGGUUACUAAAUAUUUAUUCUAAUGAUUUCUUUUAUAGCAAAGAUAUCUACAGAAUCAAGUCACUGCUCACCCAUGAGAUUGCAAAUCUAAGCUUUUGCGUUUUGCAUGGAUUAUAUUUACCGAGUUGGGUCAGGUGGGUGUGGCCCCUUUGACACGGCAUGGUCUUUCUCCCACCGAAAAAAAUAAUAAUGAGAGCGAAACAAAAGCAAAAGUACUAAGCUGGGUCAGGUCUCAGGUGGGAGUUGCCCUUAAAAUUUUCAAGACUUACAAAUGCGUACUGUACGUGCUAUCCUGUAUGUGUAUGCGUUCACAUCAUAUAUCAAAACUGUAUAUUGUAAUGCAUAUAGUUUUUUUUUUUGCAAAUUAUACUCUAAAUGGAUAUUAUUUUAAGUUUCUCAUCUAAAUCCAUUAUUUUUUUAAUAGAUAACUAAAAUAUCUAAUACAAGGAGAAUAAAUGAUUUGUAUGAUAAAAUAUAGAGAAAACACAAUAUAUAAUAGUAUAUAAAGACUACGAAUAUUCUUCUAGGUUUAAGUUAAUAUUUCAUCCGUUCCUGAAAUUAAGAUUUUUUAGAUUUUAUUCUUCUUCUACAAAAAUAAAUUUUUUAUACUUUUGAGAAAUAUUAAUUGUGAAUAUUUGAAAUUAUUAAAUUUUAUUGGUGAAUAGUUAUUGGAAAGUGUAUUGAAAAAUAAAUUGUAAAUUCAAUUGUAAACAUUUAUUAUAUUCUUAAUAAACAUGAAAACUCUAGAAAAUCUUACUUUCGGAAACAGAGAGGGAGUAGUAAAGAUAGAUAUUAACUUUGGAAACAAUCUAAACUUCAUUUAAAACAUGAUCAGAAAGUAUAAAAUAUAUUAUAUACGUUUCCAAAAUAAUCACACCGAAUUUUUCAUCAUUAAAUUGAUAUCCGCAAAUAUUUGGAUCAAUAACUAUAUUUUGAUUCAUAAUAUCUAUCAAGUAUAUAUUUUUGAAUAUGCUGAACUAGAUUCCCUAAAUAUUGGUGAUGCCUUUUUUAUAAGACAUAACAAUUUUUUUUUUGGACAAAACAUAUUUUUGGUUGUUAAUUAAAUAUGAAGAUAAAUAUUGAUCUUUGUAUAGGUUUAAGUUUAAUAAAAUAUUAAAAACUAGAGGGGAGCUAUAUGAAUAUUUUCACAAAAUAGUAGUUAGGUAAAUUAAAAAAUAAUCCACUAAAAUUAUAAAAAAGUUUAACUCUUCAAAAUUAACUAUAUGAGGAUAAAUUUACAAUUUUUUGAAUAAUUUAUAACAUCUAUGAAUAUUUUUAAGAUACAAAAACAAAAAUGUAUCUAUACUAUUAAACACAUAAUCUUAUAACUAAAAAAUACUUGUCUAUUUAAAAUAAGAAAAAAAUCUCGCACUUUGAAAGCGCGGGUUAAAAUCUAAUAUAUAUAUAGUUACAUUCACAUAUAUAUUAUCUAUUUUACGUGCAUGACAUGAAACAUUUAUAAAAACUUCUGUUUUCAUAUUAUAAAAUCUGAUUAUUGCUGAAUACAUUUUUAGUGGUCACAAUUUAUUUAGUAUUUAUUUUUUUCUCAAUUAAAAAUAAUUACCGUAUCAUAUCUAUCAAAUAACAAAUACAUCAAAAUCUUAGAAAAUCUCUAGAUCUAACAAGUGAAUUACUCAGAUAUUAUAGUAGAAACAUAAAUCAUAAUAUGAAAUAAGAAAAUGUAAGAAAUAUUGGAGGUUUAAUCAAUCUCCAAAAGAGGUCUGAUAUUCUCUCCAAAAACCUCUCUAAAAAAACUUAAACUAAAUAGUGGCUGUAAAAUAGAGAUAUAUAUAUAGGUUUAACACAUUCAUGGGUUUCUUGAAAGUUUCUCCGGUUUUGUCAAACCGCACUAGCGUUGAUCGACGCUCACAUCAUAUCUCGACUCUCAUCUCUGCAAAACUACAAGUUGUCUUCUCUUCAAGCUCCAUUUUACUCCAUAAUCUUCGAUGUACUCCAAAACACACCUAAACUUGUAAAUGAUCUAAAACAGACGCAAAGUACAUAAUAAAGACUCUAAAUAUGGCCUACAAUAUAUCCUAAUAGUGGUAAAUUCUGAGACCUAUCAACUUCCAUGUGAAUGGUGGGUGCAGUCCAUCUGAGUUAAACCACUUUCCAAGCAUCUUCGUCUAAUCCACGGAUUAUAUGUCUCAGACAAGCCUUCCAAUGACCAAAUUGUCUUCAUCCAACAUGUAGGGGCUCAGUAGAAUUACGAGUUCUCUCAUGGUUUCAAAGACUUCCAUAGGACCUCAACAUGUAUGUGGAUAGGAAAUCCAAGUGGCAACCUGCUAUGAUACCAAAUGAAAAGUUUAUACUAAGCAAAACCAGGAAGAACACAAGGGAUUAGAAGCCAUGUGUCUCUUAUUAUUAAGAAUCAGUUAAAUAAUCUUACACAUUUAUUUAAUCUGAAUUACUGAACGUUACACACGGCUUGAAACAAACCAAUUAUUAUUCUACCCUUUUGCGUGACAAUACCAGUUGAUCACGUUUCCAGUUCACUCACCUCUGAAACUCCAAAACCUUUUUAUGUCUCCAUGAGAAUACUAUGCCAAAAAUUUAACUUUUUCCCUAAGUCUAAGCUAUGAUAUAUAUGAUUUCAAUGUUUCUUAUAGUGCAAUAUACCUUUUCCUAAAAAAUAGCAUCACCACAUCUUCCAGUUUGUGAUAUGACUAUCUUCUAGUUCGUUAAUCACGUUCAAGAUGAACUAAUAAGAACUCCCUACAUCACACGCUUAAUAGUUCUUUCUGUCCACGUAGAUGUGGUACACAUCAUCUUCAUCUUCAUGUGUAACACAACAGAAACAUACCAGAUUUCACACUUUUGAAUAUGCACGAGUCAAAUUCCAAGGAACCAUGUCAACCAACACUCUUUCUGUGUCAUUUCACCAAGAUGUCAAGUUCCAAUUAAUUUCUUGAGGUUACAGAUAACCUCAGUAUGGUAAAGACUUUGAUAAGAAGAUUUUGUCUAAAGUUAUCUCAUUUCAAAAUCAGUUGGUUCGUCAAUUGUCUUUUCUUAUCAGUUGAUCUCUUUGACUCGGGACUAAAUGAUGCUGGAAUUCGUAUUCUUCCGUAGAACUUCCUGGUUAAUCUCAUAAAAGACAUCAAUCUAUGGCAGUAUAUUUCUAUUCUACAAAGAAAGAUAAAUCUCAUCUACGAUUACAUUUAUUAUUUAUCCACCUCAAAAUGUUACCGUGACCCUGAGCUCUGAUACUAAUUUUUAUGUUGAGAACCUUUGGCGGAUCUAAGAGGAUUUAUAGCUGGGGGUACUACCUUAGAAAUUGAAUAAGCUGGGGGCGCUAUCAUAUAAUUUGAGUUAGUUAGAAAGCAUUUGCAUAUAAUUGGUUAAAGAAAACAAAAAAUGAACCGGGGGCACGUACGUCCGCCACUGUUGAGAACAUCAAAAUGACCCUUACAAUCACAAAAUCGACCCACUAAACCCCUAGCUAACAAUCUCGCAUCUCUCGUUCAUGUUGGAUCAAUCAUGAGAAAGACAAUUUGUUGAGUUCUCAAGAUUAAACCGAUCAAAUGUACGCCUUGGCAGGGAUCUCUUCCUAGGAAGAUUUGAAUAGUUACGAAAAAAAGAGAAUCAAGAGAGAGAUAUUAUAAAGCUUCAGAAUAAAGAAAGCAAAACUGAAUAAGUUGAUUGACUUCUUCUUAUAACUCUAUUUCUAUUAGCUAGGAAAUAAUGUUGUUGGUGAACUUUAUUUAUCCAGCAUUGAAUUACUAAAAUAAAAAUAAAUAUAUUUUAGGAAAAAUAAAAUAAAAAUAUCAUUUGUCUUGCGGGUUUUUCAUAACUUUUGAAAUUCUUAAAUGAAUAACUUUGGAACAAAACUUAUGUUCAACCUUUAAAUUCACUUCUGUUUUCAGGACCAAUCAAAGUGACACGUAGAUAAUUAAUUAAAAAAUAUUAAAUUUAUUUAAAAAUAACUAAAAAAAAGAAUAACGUCAAUUUUAACGACGAUGAUGCCGCCAGCUAAAGCGUAAAUCCUAAAUCUUAAUUUAUAAACUCUAAACCUUAAAUUCUAAACCCAAACCCUAAACCCAAAUCAUAGACCUUAAAUCCAAAUUGUAUACCUUAAACCCAACUGUAAACCCUAAACCCAAACCACAAACUCUAAACCCAAACCAUAUAUCCUAAACCUAAAUCCUAGACUCCAAACCUUAUAGCGUCUAGGUUUAGGGUUUGGGUUUAGCGUUUACGGUUUGGGUUUUAAGUCUAAGAUGUGGGCUUAGCGUUUACGGUUUAGAUUUUAAGUCUAAGAUUUGGGUUUAAGGUAUACAACUUGGAUUUAGGGUCUAGGAUUUGGUUUAGGGUAUAUGAUUUGGAUUUAAGGUUUACGGUUUGGUUUUAAGGUCUAAGAUUUGAGUUUAGAGUAUACAAUUUGGGUUUAGGGUUUAAGAUUUGAGUUUAGGGUAUAGAGUUUGGGUUUAAGAUUUACGGUUUAAGGUUUAGAGUUGAGAAUUUAAGAUUUUGGGUUUACGGUUUAGCUGUCGGCGUCAGCGUUGUUAAAAUUAGCAUUAUUCUUUUUUAAUUACUUUUAAAUAAAUUUAAUAUUUUUAAUUAAUUAUCUACGUGACACUUUGAUUGGUCCUAGAAGGAGAAGUGAAUUUUAAGGUUCACCGUAGUUUUUGUUCAUAACUUUGAGCUAUAUCAUUAUUCAAGCUCUCUACUUUCUAGUUGCACUGGAGGAUUCUCAAAUCCUCUUAAAACUUGUGUAAACAAAAAGAACGAUUUGUGUUCAACAAAACAAAAAAACAAAAAGAACGACAACAACCAUUGCGCAGCGCAAGAUUCACUUAGUAAGGAGAAGAGAGUAAAGCUAUGAAUCUAAACCAAGUGGCUCCCACUGAGGAACUCUCUUGGUAAAGAACCUCCCAAUAACUCUGGAAUCAAGAAUCUGAAGAGCUCCUCCAGAUUUAACACAUCUUGGUGUCUUGUACUGAUUCACUGAAGAUCCUUGUGAGAUGCUAAAGUCCAUUAAGGCAUCAAAAGUACCCAAACUCACCACUCUUAUCUCCAAAGCCCCUAUUGAUCUAUCUUUGUUCCUGCACCUCCUGUACACGUAAUCCAGACAAUCCUCCACCUCAGAGCAACAGUCCUCCAUCAUCUUCUUGUCUAGCUUUGGUGGGUCAUUGUCGUAACGUGGCUUCAGCUCCCAGAAGAGCACGUAAUGCCCUGGGAUUGAUGACGUGUCCGCAUAGCUCGUGUACUCGGUGAGCAAGAGACCUUGGAGAUGGUUGAGUUUGGCUUGUGUCACUGCCUUCAUGAGAUCUUCUUCGCUGGUUUUGUCUGUGUCGAUGCUUAACACAACGUUUCUUCGCUCCACGAAACUGAAUUGGGGUGCCUUGUUGUGGAAACCUGUCACCUUUAGGAUAUCUCCAACUCUGUAUCUGUAUAAACCUGUUUAGGAAAGAUCCCAAGACUACUUGUGUCACACGUUACUCUCAUUACGUGAAAUAAUUAGGGCUGGACAUUUAGACACCCAAAUAAACUGAACGUGAAAAAUUAAAACAUUUUCAAAAUUAGUUGUAGUUUCAAAAAAUAUAAAAAAUAUUCUUAGUACAACGUUUAGGUGAAUCCUUGCUAAACGCCUAAACCUUCUCUUAUAUCAAACUGUAAUUAAUAUUUUUCCAAACACAUUAAGGUGUGUUGAAAAUAAAACAUUGCUCCAUAUUAUAGAUUUAUAUAUUUAUUUAAAAUAUAUACAAAAUACAUUUAAUUUUACCAACCAGAUGUAAUAUUAAUCAAAAUAACAUUAAUGUGUUUAUUUAUGUUUCUACUAUGUUUUUAAAAAUGAAUUUAAUACGAACUGAGCCAAAUGCAAAUUGUUGGUUUGGUGUACGUUUUUCAAACCCUAACUAAACCGGAACGAACCAAAAAUGUCAAGAGAUAACUGACCUGCGAAUGUUGUGAUGAUGAGUUCAUAGUACCGUCCAAUUUCCACACUGACAAGAUCGACAAUACGGUCUUUGUCCGUAAGGGAAACAUCAUCCGUAGAACGCGAUUCAAGGUGAGUCUCUUCAUGAGACUUAUCAUCAACAGGCAAGAACUCAAAGUAAGCCAUGUUAGGAAGAAGUGUGUAAGAAACAUCGGAUGGCUUACACAGAGGAUUGAUGUUGAGACCAAAGAAACACUCAGAGGAAGCAUACAUAACCGAAACCAAAGGCAAACCUCCGCUAUAAAACUCGAGUUUCGGAAUAUACUGAGCCAUCGAUCCGGUCACAAUCACCUCAAUAUACUUCGUCUUAGGCCAAAUCCUUUUCAAGAUUCCUUCCCGCGACUUCGCAUUGAACAAAGCCUCGAUCUCAUCAGCCAGUUCUUGGUUAGGACCGUUAAGGAUUGACAAAACCGAGUCUCUACAGCCCGAGUCAGUGAUCCAGCUAGCGACAGUACCGGUUCUAAUGUCAGCACACAGUUCGGUGAAAUGAUUCUCCAAGAACUUGACCGCUCGAAGAAAGGCGGAAGCGAAGAUAGCACCGAGUCUUAGGACAUCAGAUCGCUGGAAUAAACCGCAAAGAAGCUGACAGUACAUGCUUUGCUGGCUGUCUUCACAAAGAAUGGCAUCGUUAGGGCUAGUGAUGACAUUGUACUUGUUGAAAGGCCUGUUCUUGAAUUGUUCACUUUUGUAGUAACUGGUUAACACAGGACGUGCCUGUAGACCAGAAGGAGUCUUGAUCUCUGGUUUUAUGAACAAAAGGUACAUUCCUUUUCCUUCAUCAAGCCCAUUCACAAACCUACAAAUGAACCCACAUUUAAUCCAUUAGAACUACAAUGUUUAUGAUUUUUGUAAGGAGAUUUGGUUUAAAUUGAGAAAGUAGUAAUAUUACUUAUUCAUGACGGGCACAAGCAUAUUGUAGAAAAAUGUCUUUCUAUCCAACUCUUCAGCUGUAGAAGGCAUCAAUUUUGGUUUUCCACCCGAAGUUCCCGAGCUGCAUCAUAUAUUUUAUCCAAUAACCAAGAACUUUAGAGAUUUCCCUAAUUUUAUAUAAAACAGAAAUUUUAUAAACUAAUACUCAAUAAAUUAAUAAACAGCAUAAAUUAAUAAAUUUAUCCGGUUUCAAAUCAGACCGAUAUAAAUAUGACAUAAUUCGAUAAACAAUAAGAUAAUGAUAUUUAAGUAGAAAACUCUUAACUAAAUAUAUGGUCCCAUUAAAAUCAUAAACUAAUAAUUACCACAUAUAUAAAUUUUAUUAUAACAUAAACAAAGGAUUUUAUUUUUAAUUUGUAUUCAAAAUAAAUUUCAUCUCUAAUUUUUAUUCAAUAUUUUGGUGUUAUUUUAUCUAAUUACAUAUUAACGAAUUUAGAGGGUAUCAUACAUUUUUAACAUACAUAAAAUGCAUCAAAUAUUCUAAUUAAAUUAUAAAUAAAUUAAACUAUAUAAAGUUUAAAUAAUAUUUAUAUAUAUAUAUAUAUAUUGUGAAAUAAAAUUAUUUUUGUAUAUAAAAUAAUAAAAUAUCAUAGUCCCAAAAUUAUUAAUUUAUACAGUUUUUACUGUACAUGCUAAAUAGUUAUCUAAACUCUUUAAUGUGAUAUUUUUUAGUGUACCAUCCAUGGAAAUUUAUCUUAAUAGAAUAAUAUGUUAAGACAUUAAUAUUUUUUGCCAGCAUGAAAUAUAUCAAGAGUAUAUUUGUAAGAAAAUGAUUGAUUAAUUAAUUAAAAAAUAAACCAAACAAGAAUAUUGCAUAUCUUUUUCAUAUACUUUUAAUUUAAUUUUAGAUAUAUUUAUUUAUUUUGUACAUAAUAUUAUAAAAAUUAUUUGACUCUGUAUUCUUAUAAAUAAAAAAAUCUGUUCGUAAAGAAACUAAAAUAAAAUUAUAGACUAAAAUUCUUUAUUUUUAUUUUAAAUAAAUAAAUAUUUAUAUGAGAAAUUGCCAUAAAUAAAUAAAUAUUUUAAAUAAAUAAUAUUUUUUGAAAAGAAAUAAAGAAAUUUUUUUUUAUUUAAACAUAAAAAAUAUUUUUAUUUUUUAUUUAUUAAAAUAAUGAUUUAUUAUAAUAUAUAUAACAAAGGUAUAAGAGUCUUUUGUCACUUAAUGAAGAAGACAUUUUUUAAAAUGUUCCUUUAUUGGUGGUAAAGAUGAAAAGUGAUAUUAUGAAAGUUGUAAACAUAAAAUUUUCCCUAUUUAUAUUGUUCGUAUAUCUAUAUAUAUAUAUAUAUAUAUAUAUAUAUAUAUCUAAUAUUAAGCCAAAUGAUAGUAUUCACCAUACAAAAAUUUAUAAAACGGGUUAAGUUGUUAAAUUAAGUACUAUUUUAUAUACAAUUUUCAUGAAUACCAUAAAUAAAAAUAAAAUUAAUUUAUAAUAAUAUCUUUUAUGCAAAAUAAAAAUAAAAAUAAUCUCACAUUUUAGAAGCGCGGAUCCCUAACUAUUAUCUAGUUAUAUAGGAAUGUAAUGUAAAACCACAUAAAAAUAUCUAACCGUUCUUUGUGUUACAUUGUUAAUUAAGAUCAUGUAGAAAUAUAUAUGGAUAGACUUUUAGUUUAUUUUCAUUUUGGUAUUUAUUGCUAGCAUGAUUUUUAAAUAUUGAAAAGCUUAAAUCCGUAAUAAAAAAGUACUCAAACAAAAAAACUGACUUGUUAAAAUUAUUGUGUAAACAUAUAUAUGGUGGUAAGAUGAAAAAAAAGAUUUGUAAAUAAUAAGUUUUUGUUCUAAGGUUUCAAGGAUAACAUAAUAUGGUGGUGACAUAUAAGGAUAACAUCAUGUGUGUAAUUAAUAUCUUCUUUGUAUUUAUAUAGAUAACAUAUUCAGAAAGUCAUUUAAUUACCUUGUGAGAAGCUCAGUGAUGGGUUGAGCAGAGAGGAUAUCGGAUGAGUCUCCAUCAGAGAUUCGUUGGAUGAAGGGCUUUAUGUCUUCAUAAUUUACCACAGGGGCUUUGUUCUUGAAAUUUUCUUGAAUAUUGCAAGAUUCUCCAUCAAGAAACGACCUGAGAUAUUCGGUUUCUGAAUUUUGAGAGAGUAUUUGGUGGAGAACUUGUUGUUGAAUGGCAUCAGCAUUUGUGGUUAGAUCCUCAAGAAGCUGGAGACCAGCCUCUGUAUCGUUUGGAUCAUAACUUGGUAUCAUCAUUUUGUUGUUGCAACUAUAAGUUUAGAAAAAAGACUUUUUUUUUUAGUUGAGAGAUACUCUUCAAAGGUGGUGGUGUCCGAGCAGAGAGAGGCAAGAUAUGGCUUAUAUAGUAAAGUAGUGGAAAGAUUUUGGGAAAUGAUGAAUAUAAGAAUAUUUAAAAAUUUUCGAUUUUAGCUGUUAUAACAAGUAAAUUCGAAUUUGUUAUCCAAGAAAACAUGGAAGUAAGAAACAAAUCUUUUAAAAUAAGGAAACAUAUACAUUAUUUGUUGAAAAAAACAAGGAAAUUAUCUUUUACAAUUACGAAAAUAUGGAAGUAAGAAAAAAAAUCUUUUAAAUUAAGGAAACAUAUACAUUAUUUGUUGAAGUAAAAAAUAAGGAAUUUUUUUCCAAUUUUUAGCAUUAUAUUUUUCAGUUUCUGAUCAGUUUUAAAUACACGUAAAUAUAUUUGUUUAUUCAGUUUUUCUUGAAACUUAUAUCUGAAACAAAUAUAUAUAUAUAUAUAUAUAUAUGUAUAUUCAAAAAAUUAUAGUAUAUUGACAUAUUAGUGUACUAAUCAGAUUUUAAAUGAAAAUAUAAUAUAAUAUGCUCAAUGACGCUUGAAAACAUAUAUUACAAGAUCAGAAAAAGAAGAUGUGAAUUUCGAAAUAAUCUAUACUAUUAGUCAAAACUCUCAGAUCAGAAGUCUUUUUGCAAUUAGGGUUACUGAUUUGGGGAUUUUUGAGUCGAGGAUUUCUGGGAGUUAUGUCGCAUGAGGGGAUUUUAAAAUCGGAUUCAAAAAAUCACGUCGUUUUUGCACCCUUCGUGUUAUUUUUAAACAUCUACGUGCUUAAAUGAAACGUCACAUUCAAUUUAAUGGGUCUCUGUUCAGAAUAGACGGCACCAUUGAUGGAGGAUUACAUACAAUAACGUUUCAAUAGUUGAGGGUUCAAAACAAAAAGUUUUAGUUGAAAGUUUUCCAUCCAAUCUAAAAAUAGUUAGGGGUUUAAAUCGCUAAAAUCCAAGGGAUUUUAAGCAUCUCGUGUUGUUUCUGUAACUAAAUGAAACGCGGCAUUUCAUUUUAACGGAUCUCCGUUCAUAUAAGACGAUUUUGUUGAUCGAAGGUUAACGACAUUAACGGGUUAAUAGUUGGAGGUUUAAAAACAUGAAGUUUAGUUGGAGUUUUCAAUCUGAUUUAAAAAUAGUUGGGGGUUUAAAUCACUAAAACCCUAUUUAUAUUAUAUUUGGUUUAGUAAUAUUUAAUCAACUAUAUUUUAUUUUAUAUAUAUAUAUAUAUCACAUAAGAAAAAAUGAAUCAUCUAUCUUUUAAAAUACAUUUCUUUAGAUAGUCAAAAUCACUCAUUGUGAUAAUUUCUGAAAAGAGUUGCCAAAAUAUUUAAAAAUAUUAUAAUAUUAUGCCAAUUGUUGUUUUGCUCUCACGUUAAAAUUAAUGCCUUUGAAGUCUUUAUUUACUUUAAUAAAUAAUUAAAUUAGAUUUGUUAAUAUAUAUAAUUACCCAUAAUUUUUUAAAAAAUUAUUAAUUUCAUAAUCAUCAUUAUCUAAAAGAAUUCUAUACAAUGUUAUUCAAAAAUAUUUACAUCAUAAUCUUUUUAAAAUAAAUAUAAAUCUAUGUAUAUAGUUUUAUGUAUAUAUGACUGUUUUCAAAAACUUUACGUAGUAAAAGAUAUUUUAUUAAAAUAGAAAAAAGUUUAUCAUAUAUAAAAAAAUUAAUAUUAAAUUUAUUAUUAAAUAUUUCAAAAGAAUAAGAAUAAUUUAUUUUAAUAGCUUUGAAUUGAUAAUAUAAUUUCUACAAUUUUUUGUGUGCUUAUUAAGUCCACAAAACACUUACUAUAUUAAUAAUAAGAUGAUUACAAAACUUAGUGUACAAUAUAUGGAAUUUAAAUUUCCUAACAUUUACGUAAAUUGUAACUGCCACUCAGUGUCGUGCCAAACAAUUAGGUGGCUUAAAGCAUUUUAAAAAAAUGUGGCCUUCAUAAAAUUUUUUUGUCUCUUUUAAAACAUCGUCUCAAAGACAAAAUUAUGUGUGUCCAUCGAGAGGGUCAAAGUUUUUUAAAAGUCACGGCUGGAAAAAGUUUUUUUUGUUUGUUAAAUAAAUUAAAUUUUCUUUUAAUGUCAUUUUGAUAGCUAUAACAUUAGAAAGUGGAAACUCGUAAAAAGAAACGAGGAUCAUGCAGAAUUCCUUUAGUUGUUUUUUUUAAAUUAUUCUUAAUAUAUUAUCUUUUGCUUAUUAUUAAUUUUUACCAAAACUCCUUACUUAUGUAUAUAUAUAUUUCAGUUCAAUAUAUUCUGUUCAGGUAAAAAUAAAAAAAAUAUUAUUUUAUUUUGAUAUAAAGUAAAAUAUGCGGAUCGUUUUGCGAAAAAAUUAUAAAAAGAUAAGGGAUGAAUCAACACAAUAAUAGCACAAGGUUCUCUCGAGGGAAUGACACAUCAGAUGUUUAGAAGCCUGUGAGACUGCCGUGUCAAUUAAUGAAAAAAAGUAGAAAACCAAUCAAAACAUUUCAUUUAUACACAUAAGUUUUAGUAAACUACACAUAAGCAUAAACAUUUGUUCAAUAAGCGAUUUUGUUAAUAUCAAACCAAUCUCGGACAAACCCAUAGCUCCAUCGUAGCCAAGUAGAUUCUUCCUGCAAUAUUUUGGGUUUAGCCGUAGAUCUCGAUUUCUCAUCAAUGUCACACAGACCGGAAAUAAAAAAAAAUACAUGAAAUAUAUAUAUACAAUAAAGAAAUAAUUAUAUUUAGGGUUUAUAACUAUUACUUGCAGCAUAAGUAACCGGAUAAAGGGCACUUCACCUCACGACAAGGCUCACGGUUGAUGAUGGUGGCUCCGUCGGAAAGGGUGUGGCUGAUGACAUGGCUGUGAGCUUCUGUUGUGCUUAACUCACGGUGGUGAAGAGCAAUGACAGAUCGCAUCUCUUUGGAGAUCCACCUUCCUCUUGGCACACGACUGAACAACAUGACGACAAGAGUGGCGAUAGAAUCAUGGACUCCGCAGUGACAGCGCAGCUUUCCGGUGGACUGUGAUAACUCUGACGUCGAGCGAUUGUGGUGAGAAGUGCAGUUGAUGAUUGAGACAAGAGAUGGUGACGAUCGCAACACUCCUCUCCAUAUCGGUACAGUUACAACGUCAAAUAAAAGGAGAGGGGAUGGGAAAGGUGACGCAUGUUUUAGAGAAAGAGGUACUUACGUCAAUAUAAAUACUUACACGGCUUAAGAAAGAUUAAAUAAUUGGUUUGGGUUCUAAAAUUAUUAAUUGAACCAAACAAACAGGAUUUAGAAAAAAAAAAACACCGGGUCAGGUCGUUACAAUUUUGACUUGUACCAAUCAGAAGUCUGAUCGCCAAUGUCCACAUGAGACAAAUUAAAGACUACCUAAAGAUGUUAAUAACUUUAAAUUUAAACAUGUUGGUACUAAAUAAAUCUUCAAAUGUUAAUAAUUUUAAAUUUAAACAAAUAACAAUUAUCAAAUUGAAAAUAUUUUGAUAAAAAAUAUGGAAACAAUUCCCGCAGCGUAGCACGGGUGUUUACCUAGUAUGGAGUAAUAAGAUAUUCCUUACUCAACUUUGGAGUGAGAGAUUUGAAGCAUCAAUGAAACGCCUGCACUUUGUACAUAACUAGCUAGAGAUACAAAGUGAUUUAAUUGGGUUAACCUUGUAUACUGAUGUGCGAAUUUCCAAGGACUAAUUUUGACAGGUCUCUUUGGAAUCCUUUAACCCCUCUCUUCUGAGUCAGUUGCAUCUGGAUCUACAGUCUACGGAACAAUUCCAGGGUCCAAAUGAGGAAUAAUUACUUCAUCCUGCAACGAAAGUAAAGAGUAUCAAGUUGAAGCUACAUGAUAUUGAUGUAUUUAGAGUUCGUGGAAAAGCAAACGGUACCUGAUAAUCAACAAACACUCUCGGAGGAGUGCACCAAUAGCCCCCUUGUAUGGUAGACAGAGGGAGCUUCCACCACUAAAGCCGGUCGUGGCAGAUCCAGAGGGAGAUUACAUGUCAGUCAUUUCUCAUCAUUCGAAGCUCCAGCUGGCGCCUCACUCAUUGCUCUUUAGGUUGUAAUGGCCUUAAUUAUGGGUAUCACACAGAAAAAAAAAAUAAUUGACAAGGCUUAGAACAUGUAUCAGCCAACUUACAAACAAAAUUGAGGACAUAAAUUAUAUACAAUAACACAUCGCUUUUUACAAGUGAUGAGACUAGUAGCAGAAGAAGCACAAACAAGCUAAAGAAACAAAACACACCAAAUGAGGAAUGAGAUAAGUACGGUACCUAACCUAAACCCGACUAGCAAGGUACAGAAGGAGAAACGAAAUGGUCGCACUUUAUUACAGCUCGCACUAAGAUUCCUUGUUAAGGACUCACGGGCUCGGUAGAAAUUGGUAGGGCUUGCCAAAGCCUGGCUCCUCCUAACCGCAGAAGCCAAAGAAAACAAACCAAGGGAUAGCAAAAAACUAAAGCCACCGAACACGUACCUGAACUUAUAUGAUAUCUUCUUGAAUUUGUAAAAAAAAUUUUUCUGAAUUUAGCAAUGUCUUCAUAAAUGUGUAAAUCAAUUUCUUGAAUGUAACUUGUUUGUAUAUUUUGGAAGUUCUUCAAAAAUGUGUAUGACAUUUUCGUGAAUUUAAUUUAUAUGAAUAUUAAAAAAUAUUAUUUAAUGUAUAAUAUAUUUUGAAAAUUUACAAAGAUGCUUUUAUAUAUGUAUAAUAUCUUUAUAAAAUUUAGAUAUCAAAAUCAUGAAGGUCUUAAAAAAAACUUUAGGAAGACGUUAUACAUAUUUAAAAAUUGUUAAUAAUUCAAAUUCAGUAAUGUAUUCAUAAAUAUAUAUAUAUAUAUAUAUAUAUAUAUAUAUAUAUAUAUAUAUAUAUAUUUAUAGGGGUUAUUGGUUGUUGUAUUUUAAUAGAUUUGAAAAUCUGAACUAAAUCUAGUGAAUUGGUUCUGUGAUUUUCAAAUCUGUAUUAAAAUCAUGUGUUAUUGGUUUAAUGAUUCAUAAAUUCUAUAUCAAAUCAAGUGUUAUUCAAUCGUACGGAUUUACUAAUAAACGACGAAGAAGUUGUCUUAUUCCCAAACUGGGAAACUGGAAUCAACUGAUUUGAAAGUGAGAUAACUUUUUCUUCCCAACUCCUAUGAGGUUUUUUCAACUUCCUGGUCAUUUUCCACCACUUUAUGUAUCCAUAUCAAGCUUCUUACAAAGUGUUUCAUCCUGGUUCGAUUGGAACGGCGAAGAAGUUGUCUUAUUCCCAAACAGGAAAACUGGAAUAACCUGAUUUGAAAAUGGGAUAACUUCUUCUUCCCAACUCCUAUGAGAUUGUUUCCACUUCCUGAUAAUUCACCACCACUUCCAACUCCUAUGAAAGUGGGAUAACUUCUUCAAGCUUCUUACAAAGUGAUUCAUCAUGGUUCGAUUGGAACGACGAAGAAGUUGUCUUAUUCCUAAACUGGAAAACUGAAAUCAACUGAUUUGAAAGUGGAAUUUGAAUGGAUUUGUUUGGAUUUUUUAGUUAAAAAUACAAAGACUCAAAUCCUAGGAAAAACCUCUCGGAUUUGCAUAAUUUACUUGGAUUUAUAAAUACUAUAUGAGUUUCUAAAUCAAUCAAAAUAUAUAAACCAAUAACACCUCAGAAAGUUUUCAUGAAUUCACAUUUAAGAAUUUAUGAAAAAUUUCCAAAAUUUUAUGAAGAUAUUAUACAUAUUAUUUAUCAAUAUCCUUCUAAACUUUACAAAAGAAAUAUAAAUUUUACUUGUUGAAUACAGAUCUUAAAAUAUAAUUUAAAUGAUAAUAUGUGAAUAAUAAACUACAGAACUAAAGAUCUAUUUUUCAUAAUAAUCUAGUGUCAUUAAUUUAAAAGAAACCUAAUUUAUUAAUUUAGACUUUUAUAUUUUCAUCCCUCAAAAUAAUUAAGUUAAAAUAUCCCAAGGAAAUUUUCCUUAAUUUUAAUAAGAAUCUAUACUAUUAUUUAUGAAGUGAUUUAACUUAUUUGUCAUGAUUUCCAUGAUUUUAGGUAAUUUUGCUUAUUUGUCAUGUUUUAAUUAUGUUUAAGCUGAGUCAUUAAUUUAUUAAUAGUUUUUAGUUGAGUCCAUAAUUUAUUAAUUUAAAUAAUAUAACUAUAAAAUAUGUAAUUAGAUAUAUAAUUAUUUGAUUUGGCUUAUUUGUCAUGUUUUCCAUGAUUUUAGUCAACUUUGUUUAUUUGUCAUGUUUUUAUUUAUGUUUUAGCUUAGUCACUGAUUUAUUAAUAAUUUUUAGCUGAAUCACUAAUUUAUUAAUUAAAACAAUAUCCGUAAUGAAUUUUAUAUAUAAUUAAAAAUUAAUUUUGAUUUAAUAAUAUUUAAAUCUAUAUGUUAUAUUAAUUGUUUUUUAUUUGUCAUAUUUUAUUAGGUUUUAAACUUUUAUAUAGGUCAUUGACUUAUUAUUAUUUUUUAACUGAGUAUUUAUUAUUUUUCACAAAAUCCGUAAUGAAUUUUAUAUAUAAUAAAACACGCAUUUUAUUUAUUUAAUAUUAAGUAUAUAUGUUAUAUUAAAUAAUUAGGUAUAAACUAAUAUAAUAAAAUUGUGAAAAUAUAUUUAAAAAUGAAGAGAAUUAUUAUAUAUAUUGUGUUGCUAUCUGAAAACAAUAUUUUUAUUAUAAAAUUAAAAAACUAAGAUAUUAAACAGUUUAUAAUUAAAUAUUAGUUUAUAAUGCUGAUUUUUGGAUUAAUAAGAUAUAAAAUAAUGAGUAUUCCUAAGAUAGUAAGAUUAUUAUACCCGCAUGUGCGGGCAAAACACCUAGUAUAUAAUAAUUGAAGGCCUAAAUACAUUUUCUGACCUAAAUAUAUUACAUCCGGCCCUGGUGAAGACGAUUUUAAGAUUUUUCUUCCGUUCCUCUAUCUAUUAUAUUAGUCUGCGUCUGCUCUUGCUUGUUGCCUAUUCACCGGACAAAACCUAACUCUCGUAUUCUCUGAACGAUAAGAGAACCUUGGAGAUCUUUGUGAAGAUAUGGACGACAAGAUCAGUCAAUUACCUGAUGACUUGCUCUUGAAGGUACUAACGUUUCUUCCAACGAAAGUUGCCGUAAGCACAAGUAUUUUAUCUAAGCGAUGGGAGUUUCUUUGGAUGUGGUUGCCUAAACUUGAGUACGAUGAUAGCGAAUACUCGCCGGGAGAACGCUACAAAUUAUACUCCUUUAUUGAUUUGAGUCUGCCAUUACAUAAAGCUCCAGUCAUAGAAAGAUUACGUCUCAACUUUGACGUAUACGGCAGAUCAUACCGAGCCUACAGUAUCGAGAAGUUGGUUUUAAUUGCAGUGACUAGAUGCGUCCGUGAGUUAAGUGUCACACUUGUAUCUAUGCCUUAUAAAUUUGCUAGAUUACCGAGUAAUUUGUUUACCUGUAAAUCGCUGGUGAUCUUGGAACUUACAGGCCCUAUUUUCGUGAAUGUUCCUCGUAUGGUUUAUCUCCCCUCCCUGAAAUUUUUGAUCCUUGGAUGUAUGGUCUACUCAAAUGAAAAAUCUCUUCACCAACUUCUUUCUCAUUGCCCUGUUCUUGAGGAUCUAGUUCUGGAACGUAAUGAUGAAGACAAUAAUAGUCCAUUUACAUUGAGUGUAAUUGUCCCGUCCCUGCAGAGACUAACCCUAAAGAUAUCUAGAGGAUAUCAUUUUGAAGGGCUUGUGAUAAACACUCCUUCUUUGAUGUAUUUCAAAAUUCUGGAUUAUUUAGAAGAAUAUGCACGUGAUGAUAAUAGUAAUUACUCGUACUAUUUUGAAGAUACGCCUAAGUUGGAGGAGGCAGAUAUUGAAUCGACAUACCCUGAUAUCAACAAGUUUGUUAGAUCGAUCAGAUCUGUUAAGAGGCUUUCAUUAUGCAUUAGAGUCAAUGCUGAUGAGGAGGUAACAAGUUCCCAUCUAUCUAUCUAUCUACCUCAUUUUAGAACACCAAACCAGGUUUUAUUGACACUACAAGAAAACAUGACAAGUUUUGACCAAUUUUUUUACCACUUAAAUGAUCAAAACAAUUUUUGACCACAUUCGGACCAUUUUUUGACGAUUAAAAAAUGUGGACAAAAAGUGGAUAGAAAUUACUGACGAUUUUUUUUUAUUAGAAAAUGGUCAAAAAAUUGUGACCAAAUAUUGGCGACUACAAUAUGGUCAGAAAAGUGGUCACAAUUUGAUCAAAACGCAAGUCCACUUAUAUUUAUAAAAUCUAAAAAAGAUCAAACAAUAAUAGAAACGAUGUCGUUAGUGGUUUGUUUAAUAAAGUCAGAUUGUCUUUAACCUAAUCCUUACUUUUUCUAAAUUUAUCUUUUUAUCUCAACGCCGCCGAUUCUCAAAGAAUGCCUACUCGAGAGGAAUUUCUGCGUUUUCUUCAACAAAAGCCGAUUGGUGAUGAAACACCAAGUUAUGUUGAUUCCUUUCAAGUAUUUGAGACUUACUUCUCUCAACCAAAGCACUUCUCACAACUAAACCCGGCCAAUAUCAACGUCACACAGAUACCAUCAAAUUCGACACACCACUAGACUUUUCCGUUUGCAAAUUUGCUAAUCCCGGUAUGCUCAACUCACCACUAGUAUUUGAUUCUAUUAGUUGUUCUGAGCUGCUGAAAGUCUCUCUUUGUUACAGCUUUACAGAGACACUACGCGAUCUUGCAAGCCAUUGCAUUGGAUGAAGACGAGCUUCGUGAGACUAGAGAUGAGACUCUUCCUGACGAAGAAGGAAUGAACAGGUUACAACUUUUUUGAAAAAAACUUUGUUUUACAAAAUAAAAAUGUUGGGAUCUUAUCUAGUGAACCUUUUUUAUAUUGCAGACCUGGAGUUGUAUAAGCAAUAGAAGAAUUUAAGAAGUCUAGCUACAGCGAUGACUCUGAAGAAGAAAGUGAUUCAGAGGAAAAGAAGAAAUCAAGAAAGCGUGAAAACAUGAAGUUAUAAUCAUCUACCUCCCGAUGUGAAAACGUAAUGGUUCAUUAUUAUGCUUCCAUCUUAUAUAUUAAAACAGAAGUCACAAUCUUGAUUCAUGUGUGAUUUUUUUUUAAAAUGGACCUAAUGGAUCUAUUCAUAGAAAUUCAUACUAUAUUUUAAUUCAGACUAAUAAUAAAUAUAAUUUUAAAAAUAUUUUAAUCAUAGUAUCUUUUGAUAUCUUUUCAUUUUAAAUAUAAAUAUAUUUAUUUUAAAAUUCUAACAAAUCUGUUUUACAAGAUUUUUACAAGAUCUUCAUUUUUGAAGUAUUUAAAUAUUUUCACUAAUUUCAAAAUUAGUUUAAAAUAUUAUUAUACAUUAAUAUAUUCAGUUAUAUAAAAUGAAAAAUAAAAAAUCUAUAAUAUUUUAGUUAUUAUAUAAUCAUAAUCAAUCAUAUUAAAUUAAAAUUAUUAUAUUGAUCUAAAUAUAAUAAAAUUAUAUUAAAUUUAUAUAUUUAUAUAUUUUAUUUUCGUAAUUAUAAAAUAUUUAUGUUCAAAAAUAAAAUCAAAUAUGUUAGUAACAUGGGUUAACAUUAUCAAACUAUAUAAUACAUGUAUAAAAAUUAACAUGUAUUUCUUUAAAGUUAAUAAUAUAAAAUCUUUGUAACUACUUUACUCAUAAUAGAUUUUCAUUUUAAAUAUAAUAUAUAUUUAUAUAUUAUAUUUUAAAAAUUCUAAUAAAUCUGUGUAAUAUUUAAAUAAUAACUUAAUGUAUUUUAAGUUAUCGUUUAAAAAUGAAAAUAAAUAAAUUAUAUCCUAUUUUAUCUACUUUUAUAGUCAUGAUCAUGUUAAAAUAUAAUUAUUAUACUAAAAUAAAUAUUAUAAAAUCAUAUUCAAUUGAUAAAUUUAUAAAUUUUAUUUUCAUAAAUAUAAACUAUUUAUUUAAAAUAUAAUAUGAUGGUAGAACGACUUAAAAUUAAAAAACUAUAUAAUAAUGUCUAAAAAUUAACAUAUCUUACACUUUUAUAUAUACAGUAAUAAAUUAUCUAAAAUGAAUAAGUAUAAAAAUAUUGGUAAAAAGAAAUCCAGUUUUGAAAUACGGGUCAGAAUUUAGCAUAAAUUAAAUAUAAUUUUUUUUUUAAUAUAUUUUUUUAUGAAUAUAUUAAUUUGCUUAAUAACUAAAUGCAAAUACAAUAAGAUAAAUAUAUAAUAAGAAGUGGCAAAUACAUAAAGUUUAAACAAUUAAUUAAUUAUAACAUGUAAUUAUAAAAUUAUUGUAUUUGAAAUAGUUAUAUAAGUAUUUAAGUAUAUGAUUAACAUUAAAAAUAUAUACCACUUAUGUUCUAAAACAAUAAUUUAUGUAUAGAAAAGUGAAAACAAACACCCGUGCGGUUGCACGGGUCAAAAUCUAGUUUUGUGGUUAAAACUUUAGUAAUGACUAAUUGUAACUUUUUUUCUUAACGUUGUGUUAAAACUUUAUUUAAGUAUUAUGCUAAGACUAUUUUGUUGUUAAUUAUUCAUGUUUUCAUUAUAAAAUUUAUUUGAUUUAGUUAUUUAGUUAUAUUAAAUACAAUCUUGUUGAUUAAUAAAUAAAAUUGUUAUAAAUUGUUAUAAUGUCGAAAGAAAACAGUGGUCAGCAAUUCGUCAAUAAAAUAGGUUAGUAACACGUCAGGAAAUGGUCAAAAAUGUUGUGACCAGUUUAUGACGAAAUUUCUGACUACAUUACUGACCAUUUAUAUGGUCAAGAAUUUUUGACCACCUUCUAACCAAAUUUGAUUUCUGACGGACGAUUUUUGACGACUUUAGAAGGUUAGAAUUUGGACAAAAAUGCUUGUUCCUGACCAUUUUCUUUCCUAUUUAGUGGUCAAAAAUUAAACAAAUUCUUGUAGUGUGAUGCUGAAGCCUUUGUUAUUAUGUGCAGGCUUUAUAUCAUGAGGGUAUUGUAUUUGACCAGCUUCAGCAUCUAAAGCUAUGUUCAUGUGGUCCAAAUUGGUCAAAAUUACUUGUCCGGUUACUCAAAGAUUCUCCUUUGUUACGAGACCUUGAGAUCUAUCUGAAUGAAGUAAGUUUCUUCGAUAGAUCUAUCCUUUUGGUGUUAUAAUUUACUGUAAUAUUUAAGACAUAACUCUUUAUUUUUUUUUCAAUUUUAGGAUCAUACAUCUUCUAGAGUGGAUGCACCGGUUUCCUGGCAGAAUCAACUGGAUUGUGUGCCUACAUGUUUAUUGGCAAGUCUUGAAACUUUCAAGUGGACAGUGGUGUAUGUGGAUCACAAGAAGAGAUAGAUCUGGUGAAAUAUAUCUUGAGAAAUGCUCGGUGCUUAAAGGUUGCUAAAAUCUUGUUUGGGCCAUCGUUUUGUCAGCAAGAAGAGGAGAAACUUGAGAUGGCAAAACAAGAUUUGUCACUUUCUUUCAGAGGUUCAAAAACAUGCCAAAUCGUAUUUGUUUGACGUAUUUGAUAUGCAUUUUAUGUAGACAUAUAUCUAUAUUCCCAUUGCCAGAUAUUGUUUUUCCAACUUGGACAAAUAGUAUAUGAAUUUUGAAGAAACAUUAAAGUUCUCCUUCCCUUAUUCAUCUUAAAAACUGAUAAAUUUUGUUUAAGAUGAUAAACUCAUCCGUCCAUCUGAGCAUGCUUCUUAACACGGCUUUUGAACUGCCUAGAUCUGCUCUUGUGCCUUGAGAUAACUUAUGUUCUCCCUUGCCCCUUGUCAUAUCUAAACCACGCUUGAACUGGAUUUCAAUCCUCUUGUUUGCUGAAAGCUCCCCUCCUCCGGGAAUAAUCAUUUGGUCUGCCGGGUUUAUCUGCAACUCUUGCAAUGCCAGCUGAAAUUCGGGAACCAUGUGACAACACAUAAGCUGCUCCCAGCUUGAAGCAUCGAAAAGAGUCUUCCAAGGGAAAAGAAUAGUGUGGACAGACGCAUCACAAGGAUGUCAAGCAUCGAGAAGGUUUUACUCAUUGAUAAUUACGUCCAUAAGAAAAUAACGCUUAAAGAGUUCUUGAGGCACAGAACAAGGUACAAAGAGGAAUCUGUUGGUGAUUUCGAUAAUCAACCUGCAUUGAAGUCUCCCUCGCCUUAAGCGAAGAAGAUGGCACCUAGAAAGGAGAAAAAAAAUGAACAGAUAUCAACAUUUAGAGUUCAAGAUUGUGAGAGAGACAACAAUAUCUUGUAACGUGGAGCAAAACUAAGUCAGAACUUUGCUGUUUGAAUACAAAGGGUUUCUCUGUCGGCAUGCUUUGAUGAUUCCGCAGAUGUGCGGUUUCGCCAGCAUCCAGCCUCAUAUAUUUUGAAAAGGUGGACUAAAGAUGCUGAGAGUGGAGCAUUGGCUGGUGAAGGAUCAAACAUUCUUCUUAUCGCAUGGAUCUCCCACAUUGAGCAUUGAUGAUAAGUUAGAAGCAAGACAGUUCUUCAAUUUUGUCAUCUCUGCUCACUGGGACACCGAGUUUCCAUACGUCAACACUGUUCCCAGAAACUCCACCAUCCACGAUUUCUAUGGCUUUCCUGAUCCCAUGUAUAAGACUCUCCCUCUUCCUCUUUCUUACAAAGAAAAAACCCUAACCUUUGUCUGAACCUGAUUCUAAUAUGGAUAAGGUUCUGUCCUAAACCGUACCCAUAUAGCUGAUCGUUGAAAAGAUUCAUCAAUUUUCAAUUUGGUGUCAAUUACAUCAAAAGUUUCAAUCUUUGUGGUCAACUGGAUCAAAAGUCUCAAUUUUUACAUAAUGGGUCAGUUUUGAUUCUUGCAGCUGAAGUAUAAAGCACCAGGAGCUAAAUGAACUGGGGAAAAAGGUUAAAGAGUUGCUAAUGGGAGGAGGAGGAAUGAAGCGUGUUGAUGAAGAUACAGAGAGAGGACUUGAUUGUGGAGCUUGGCUGAAAUGUUGUGUAUAACUGACUAAUUUGGGUUAUGAGGCAUUAGUCACAGAAGCAUUUAUGUAACAUUUCACAUUUGAAACACAAAAUGUCGAUGAUGAAUCUGGUCAGAAAUCGAUUAAGUGUGAUUGGAAAUUUCUGUUCUUAAGUUUAAAACGGACAUUUAUAUUAUAGAUUUCUUAAUAUAUACUUCUUCCAUUUCAUAAUAUAUGGUUUUUCAAAAUAUAUGAUUGUUGAAAUUUCUACGCUAAUUUUAACUUUAUUAAAAAUUGUUCAACCAAUUUCAUUUUACAAUAUUUUUAUGAUUGUUGGAUUAUUUUUAAUAUAUACUAUGACUGAUGUUUCCUUUUAAAGUAUGUUUUUUAAUCUUUGUGUUUUUAGGCAUAAUCUUUUUUUAAAUAUUUGUACUUUUAGGCAUAACUUCUUCUUUUACAUCAAAAAAUUAUCUUAUAUAUUAAAACAGAAGUCACGAUCUUGAUUCAUGUGUGAUUUUUUUAAAAAUGGACCUAAUGGACCUAUUACUAGAAAGUCAUGUUACAUUUAUCAUAUUAAUUGUUUUGUCAUUUAUUUUCAAAUUAAUGUCACCUAAAAUCUCACAUUAUCAACUCAUCUUUUAUUAAUCGUGAUGAUUUCUUUUUACUAUAUAAAAAAUCAAUGACAUGUGUCUCAUAGACCAGAUUUAUUAUGAAUGACCAUACAUUUAAUGUUACUAAAAGUAUACAUUAGUUCAUAAAUUUAUGAUAGUCUUAUUUCAUAUGUCUCUGUCGUUUUCAUUAAAUACUUAAUCGUGUACUAUAUUUAACCAUAUACAGAUAAACGUAUCUCAUGGCCAUAACUUCUAUGACAAUGCUUGACCAAACUAACUUUGUUACUAACAGUGUUUUAUUUUUAGUAAACAUGCUUCAAUGAUAUUUGAGUUAGGAUGCUCUUUGAAUUUAUUGUUGCACUUGUGUUAGUCUUAUUUGAGUUAUUGUUCUCUUUGUAUUAUAUGAUCUUUAAUUUUUAUAUACUGAAACACAGACAUCAUUUGGAGAAGAUGAAGUUAGCUGUAUUCAAAAUAAUAAAACAUCAAAUACGGGUAUAUUCAUUUAACAGCAACAAUAUUUGUUGUUUGUUACAAAAAUCAUAUCUAAAUGGUAUAAUCCUAUAAUUCUGUUACUGUAACAUUAUUGGAAAACAAUCAGCAUAAUAUCAAAGAAAAAAUCUAUUCCAAUAUUAAAUAAUAUAAUUCAAAAAGUUACUAAAUUCAAAUUACGGGUAUAUUAUUUGCCCGCAACUAUAUUGGUCGUAGAUUUAAAAAUUUCACUAAACUUAAAUUGAUGGAGUCUACGGUAGUUACUAGAAAAUAGUUUCAUCUCACCAUGAAUUUCUAUGUAUAUUAUAUCAUGAAAUGUUUUUAAUUUAACAUAUUAAAAACAGAUAUCAGUGUUUUUAGUUUAAUAUUCAAUCGUAAUAAUAUUCAAAUAUUAGUGUAGAUUAAUAUUUUAAUAUGUUCAUAAAUACAAAUAAAAUUACUAAAUAAUAAAAUAUUUAUUUAUAUUACUUAUAAUUUUAAUUAAAAAAAUUACAGGUAAUAUUCUAUUUCAAUAAAAGAAUAUAAAUACAAAUAAUAUUUAAAUUUGUUGAACUUUGCAUAUAUUAGUGAGAAAAUCUAAUAAGAUAAAUAUAUGUCACAAUUACAUGUAAUAGUUCAAAAAAUUUAAUUGAAUAGACAAACAUGCACACUAUAAAAUUAUUGUAUCUAAAAAAGUAUAAAAACUUUAAAUAUAUGAUUAAUUAAUAAAAAAUAUAUACCAAUAAUAAUGUAAAAACAGAUGUAUAUGUUUAUAAAGUGAAAAUAAACACCCGCGCGGUUGUGCGGGUCGAAAUCUAGUUUUAUUAUUAAAAUUUAAGGUUGUCUAGGAAUCCAUACCAAAAUAAAACAAUCAACAAAAACAAAAUUUCUAUGAAAAGAGCGUGCAAUUUUACCUAAAAAGUUUGAUGUCCGGUUUUGGCUCCUUCCAAAAGUUAUGUAAUCUUCCUUGUAGAUAUAUCUGCCAGUUCGAUCCAAAAGUUAAUUUGGCCAUAUUGUCGGGUCUUGAAUCAUUGAAAUGACAUUUUUGCAUUAUGUCCUAAAAAUGACAUGUCGUGUAUUGAACAUAUUCUACAUCGACUAAAUAAGUGCAUCCAAUCAUCAUGUAUGCAACGGUAGCAUAACUUCUUAUAUUAUAAAACAGAGAGUGUAUUAUAUAUUUAUGGAAAUAAUUGAAAAGCAUAAGUUUAAAAAUAAAAUAAAAAAUUUAUUAGCUAAAUGAUAAGGGAAGAAUGUGGUUUUGGUGAUGCACUAUCUGUACUAUUAAAGUAAAAUCUCUAUUAGGAUUUUGCCAUUGAUUUUUAAUUUAUUUACAUUGUCAUGCCAUUGUUUAUUUUUAGGAUUUGUUUUAAUUAAUUUCACCCAUUUAAUAAGGAAACAAAUCUUUUGAACAUAUUAAUUUUGUUUACAUAUACAAGUUUGUUUAAAUUAUUUGUAAAUAACAAGUGUUUACUACGCUUAUACUUAAGCAAUUAAUUAUUGCUAUUAUUUAGGUCUUUUUAGUAUUAAAUAGUUUAUGGAUUUAUUUAAGAGAAAUUUCCAAAGAUAGACAUAAAAUUUUUUUUGUCACAUAUAUAGACCUUAAGAAUAAAAAUGACCAAAAUAGACUUAAUAUUUUAUCAAAAGAAGUAAAUAUACACUUAUGUAGGGUUAAUUAAUCUAGACAUUAGAGUUUAGAGUUAAGGGGUGGGGUUUAGGGUUUAAGGUUAAUUUAAGGUUUAGGGUUUAUAAUUUAGAGUUUAGGGUUUAGGGUCGAGGAGUAGGGUUUUGAGGGUAGGAUUUCAACUUUUAAAAAUUUUAAAAAAAUUUAAAAUUUUUAAAAUAAAAAAUGUUAUUUUGGUCUUUUUAGUUUUUGGGAUAUAUUUUUGUGACAAAAACUUAAAAAGGUCUAUUUGAGAGAAUUGCUCUUUAUUUAAACUAACAUAUCACAUUUUACAGCACAAAUAUUUCUUUAUUUGUCUUUUCAGGUUACAAUAUAAAAUUAGUUGGAAUUUUAAACCAAUGAUUACUAUUUUCAUAGUAUUGAUAAAUUUUAUUUAAAUAAAAUGAUUACUAUUUUCAUAGUAUUGAUAAUUCUACAAAAAACGUUUGUUUAGUAUUUUGAAAUAUAGUUAGAAAAAAAUGAAGUAAUUUGUUUUUUUUUUGAAUAAUUGAUAAACAUGAAAAUUUAUUGGGUUAGACUAGUUUAUUUUUAUUAUAUAUUACAUAAUUUAAAUCAAAAUAAUUUUAUAUACGAUAAACUAUUAUAAUAUUUAUGGCAUCCAAAACAUAUACAUACCAAAAAUAAAAAAUAUUACAAAAAUAUUAGAAUAUUUAAUAUAUGUUUACAUAGUAUAUCUUUAGAAUGGGUUAAAAUUUAAUAUAAUUAUAAUAUAUAUGUGCCAAAAAUAAUAAUAUUAACACAACAAAAAAUAAAAUAUCAAAAAUUAAAAUUUUGUUGGAAAAUAAUCCCGCGAUUUCAAUAAAGAUAUUUGAUUUCAAUAAAAAUCUAGUAAUUUUCUUAUAGGAAAAGGCAGACAAUAAAGAUAUUUGAUUUUCUUCUUUGUUUCGUGUAAGUACACGAUUUCCUUUACUCAUUUGAUUUCACAUGUUCCCGGUUGCCUUUAGUUAUUUAAGUUUAAAUUGUUGACAAAAACGAAAAUCGAUACCGUUUUACUCAAACUCUUUUAUUUUCUAAGACAUAAGGGUUUGUCCGAGGUUUAUUACACUGAUAAGAAGUUUUGAGUUUUAAUUUACUAUAGAUUUUGACUCUUAAAAAGCGUGAAUAUUUUUUUGUUGACCAUAAAACAAAAUAUUAAAUGAAUUUAUAACUAUUAUUAUAUAUCUAUAAUAUUUAAAAAGUGUUCUAUUAUUAUUAUUUCAGUCUUGUACAAUGUUUUUCAUUGAAUUUUCAUAUCCGAACCAGACUUGUGGUCGAACCAAUAGAUCCAUUUACUCGUAUAUAACGAGGGUAAGAUAUAAUAAAACAAACAUGGUAAAAAUACCUUUAAAUACGGUUUAUAUCGUAUAAGCUGUGGUGUCUUAGAUGUCUAAAAGUAUAGAUAGGCGACAGGUUUUGAAAGUCAAAAGUGGGUCAAAUAAUUUAUAUAGUUUUGUAGUCCAUGGUGUACGAAUAUUUUAAAACGGUUCAGUUAUAAAAUUGUGUAACCGAUUUGAUGGUUACAGUGAAAACCGGAGACAUUAGUAGUGUUUAAUGCUGAUCACAUAUUGUCAUAAUAUAUAGGGGAAAGAGAUAAUAUAUCGACUCAGCAGUUAUAUCAUCAUUUUCUUAAUUGGUAUAAUCUUAUCAAUUUUAUUCUUUACAAUAUCCAGUUCUCCGUAUUAUUGUCCCAUCAUAAGAAACAUAAUCGUUGGAUUCGUGUAAACCCAGAAACGAUGAUACAAGAUUCUGCCAAGCAUUAGCGAAAGAAAUGCUCAUUUUUUACAGCAUGAGAAAAGAGCAACACAUUUUGAAAUCGACUCAUGGUCGAGUAUCCUGGUGACUAUGCUUGUAUAUCAUCCUUCAAAAUCAAGUUUUAUAGCAUAUAAUCUGAUUCAGUACAGAAGAAGUAUAGUACUUCAUAAUAUGGUAAGCUACAAACCAACCUUUUCGUUCUUGAGAGAACUCUUACAAAUUUGCUUUCAUUUAGUUGAAAGUACUUAAACUACAUUGUUUUAAACUGUCACGUUCAUGAAAUUCAAGUUUUUACCAAAAAAAAGAAGCUUACAUUGGAUUUGUUUUGCGGGAUUAAGUGAAAAGAUUUUUUUUUUUCUAAUCUAUCUGGAACGGGAGAUUGUGGCUCAUGCUCCUCAACUUAUUGGUAAAGAGUGGGGGUUACAUCUCUGUAUAGAACUGGGAUUAUGAGAUUGCAAGAGGCUUAUUAAUUAUUAUGAUCAUGCGAUACCGCAGAAAAGGUUUUUUUGACUAUCAAAUCUUUGAGACGUACGAGGUUCCACACCUGUAUCUGAAUUUUGAUGAUCGCAUUUUCUGUUAAAAUUGCAAAAAAUAAUUACAAUACAUAAUUCCAACAGAGCAUUUCGGACCCUGCAUUCAAAUAUAAGCAUUAUAUGAACUUGCCCUUGAGAUGACAUAUGGAGGAAGAAGCUCUUUAAAAACUGUCUAAAUGCCCAAUAAGAUUGCCCCUAAUUCGAAUUGUAGCUCAACAGGAAUAUUACUUGGUUGUACAAAGAGUAAGGAGUAUUCAAAGUCUCGAUGUUGGGUUAUUGAAAAAAAGGUAUUUUUUUCUUGUUUUGUACCAAAAGCACAAGAAAUAAAAACUGCUACGAAGGAUACUGAUUUGCAGAUAAUCAAUAACGAUGUUUUAAGUAUAUAAUCUAUAUGGCUUGGUCUUACUUUUCUUUUAUCGGUUGGAGAGACAUAGUCACUCGUUUCAUGUGAUAAAGCAUCGAUCAACGAAUCAAUAGGAUAUGCGGUGCGGUGAGGUUAGUUGGUAAGUGUGGCCUUUUGGAACACAUGAUACUCUCUUUUCUUACUUAACGGAUGGCUUGUUUGUUGGAGCACCAGCAUUGGUUCUUAUUCUAAUGGGUUUCUAUCCAGGGGCGAAUCCAGACCAUUAAAGUAAUGGGUGCACUAUUGAUGUUAAAAAGAUAAAAAUGCAUUAAACAAGGAUCGAACCUGUGAAAUCAAGGGUGCACAAGCUUCUUUUUACCAUAAGAGCUAACGAAACUUUGAUGUUUUUCCUUAUAAAAUUUCGGAUUUUAACAUAAUCGUGGGUGCACGUGCCCACACAUCCUAAGCCCUGGCUUCGCCACUGUUUCUAUCUACAUAAAUUAAUAUAAAAAACUUGUGGGAAAGAAGACAAACGAAAAAACGUCUCUCAGUUAAGAAAGAUCUUAUUUAUUAAUUAGGGUUAGACGUAGGACGGCUGAGUAAGUAAAAAAUUAACAGAAUAUAUAUAUAUAUAUAUAUAUAUAUAUAUAUAUAUAUAUAUAUAUAUAUAUAUAUAUAUAUUUUUUUUUUGAUGAAAUUUAAAAUUUAUUGAUCCAUCGGGAAAUAAUGUUAUGUACAAGGUACAAAUAUUGAACUAAGUUUCCUCUAUGCUAUGGUAUGAUAAAUAAAGAAUGAUCUGAUCUAGAGAGUGGCCUCGAACCAUCGCGUUAAUAGUCCUCCGUAUUUGUGGUCCGGUUUAUAUCGAAGGGAGACAAUCCUAUUUCUCAUGGCUUUGUCAAUCCUUCUUCUCAUCUGAUCAGUACUCAUACCAGGCUGUUGGUGGCGCCUAGCAUUCCUCUCCCUCCAUACAUGAUAGACUGUACUCUGGAAUAACAUUCUUGCAAGUAUGGUAUCCAAUCUCUUAUCGGUCAUACGCUGCAGUCGAGUAAUGGUCCACUGCCAAUCUGGAUUGAUUCCAUUUCCAACAAGCCGGCGUGCAAGCACUUCCCAAACUGUGUAUGAAUAUGGACAGGAAAAAUAAAGAUGAUCUCUAGUCUCGUCUCUUUCUCCACAGAACACACAUCCCUGCACCAUCCCCCACUGUCUCAUUCUAUCCCCUGUAGACAAUCUGUUCUUGAUAGCUAACCAAAGGAUGAAGGCGUACCUUGGAACGCCUUGUGGCAACCAAACCACUUUGCUCCAAAGAACUUUAUCUCUUUUAACCCGCACUUGAUCCCAAGUUCUUGAUGCUGAGAAUGUAGGCAAGUAAUCAUCCUCCCCAUUCUUCCAUAGUACUAUAUCAGUACCAUUCUCAGGUUUAGGAGGAGUGAUUGCCAAGAUGCUGCGAUAUAGCUCCUGAAAACGUCGACAUCUCUGCCCUCUGACGGCCCAACCCUCCAUGUUCACAGCAUCACUUACUCGAGCAUGUCGUAAAACUCCAAGAUAAGUGGUUCCAGUUGCGCCUGUGAUAUCGAUCAAACGUCCCUUCUCCGUCCAGUUAUCAAACCAAAAGUGGCAUUUCUGGCCGUCUCUAAUGUCAAUUCUAAGAAAAUCAUAUGCCUCAUUCCUUAACUUCAGCAAUUUCCUCCAUAUCCAGGAACCUUUAGAAUCAUCUCUAACAUCCCAGAAAGAAUUAUACUUGAGGAGAUAAUGCGUUACCCAGCUUACCCAGAGAGAUGACGAUUGAGUGAAUAUUCGCCAUAUGAGCUUCAUAGCAAAUGCCUUGGCUGAAUCCCGCAACUUUCGGAUCCCUAGUCCCCCCUCCUCCUUCGGAAAACAAAGAUCCUCCCAGCUCACCUUUGCCUUGUGAGUUUGUGUAGGCGAUCCAGACCAUAGAAAAGCGCUACACAUACUCUCAAUAGUGUCAAGACACUUGGCAGGUAAGAUGAAUGCAGAACUCCAAAAAUUAACAGUACUAGAGAUGACUGAUUUUAUAAGUUGUAAUCUGCCUGCAAAUGAGAGAGCUCUGUUAGACCAGCUAAGCAUCCUCCCUCGAAUCUUGUCUAUCAGUGGCUCAUAGUCAUGACUAGUAAGAGAUUUCGUAGUCAGUGGCAUGCCCAAAUAACGGAUAGGCAACGUUCCAACUCCAAUACUCAAAGCCGCUGCUGCGUCUAGAAGUGGAUUCAGAUUAUUUCCGGAAGCAUAGAGUGAAGAUUUAGCUACAUUGAUGCGCAAACCUGACAUGCGUGCAAAUCGGUUCAUGACUCCAAUGACUCCCAAGAGCGACUCUGGCGUGCCAUUGGUGAAAACCAGUAUGUCAUCGGCAAAACUGAGAUGCGUAAGCUGAACCCCCUGACACUGUGGGUGGUAGUCAAAUUCGCCUGCUUCUGCUGCCUCAUUCAAUAGUUUCGAAAGAACAUUACUGAGAAUGACGUACAGGUAUGGUGAGAGAGAACAACCUUGGCGUAUUCCUCUGGCACUUGUGAAAAAGCCCUCCAGACUCCCGUUAACUGACACCGAGAAUGCAGCCGUAGAGAUACACAACCUGAUCCAAUGAAUGAACUGUGAGGGAAGCCCCAUCGCUUGUAGAACCGAGAUAAUGAAGGACCAUUUCACUGUGUCGAACGCCUUCGAAAUAUCAAAUUUGAUGGCACACUUCUCUUUCUUUCCAUUCCUGUGAUAACCAUCCACUAAUUCCGAAGCUAGUAAGACGUUUUCCAGGAGAAGCCGCUCAGUAAUAAACGCACACUGAUUCCUCUCAACAGCAUCCGGGAAAAUAAUCUUCAGCCUGUUAGCAAGAACUUUAGAUAUCACCUUAUAUAAUAGAUUGCAGCAAGCAAUGGGCCUGUAAUCUUUCAUAGUCUGCGCAUUUAUAGUUUUAGGGACCAGAGUGAGAAUAGUAGCAUUUACUCCUGUGGGCAUGAAACCGAAGAGAAAAAAAGAUUGCACUGCAACAAUGAAAUCCCUUCCUACUAUAGGCCAAGCAGCUACAAAAAAUUCCUUUGUGAACCCAUCAGGUCCUGACACCUUAUCAUUAGGAAGGGUGUGAAGCGCCUGUUGAAUUUCAGUAGAUGUGACAGGCCCUACUAAAACAGCCGCUGCUUCCCUUGAGCAUCUAUACGUCAACAAUGUCUGUAAUGAUGCCACUAAGACGUCUUCCGUUGUAGGAUCCUGACUCUGUAGAAAGCUUUGAAAAUGAUUGACCGCCUCCCUUUUGAUAUCAGGUAGAGAAGUGAGAACUUCGCCUUGUGCAUUGAUAAGACAUCGAAUAGUAUUCCUGGCUACCCGAGUUUGUACCAUAGAGUGAAAGAACUUAGUAUUUUGAUCCCCAGCACCCAGCCACCGUACACACGAUUUCUGCCUAUAAAACUUUUCUUCUAUGCGAGCAAGCUUACUCCACUUCUCCUCCGCUGCCGCUGCUCGAGCAAUGUUUGCUGGAGAGGGGUCAAGAAGUACUUUGUUUUGCCAAUCACAAAGUUCCUCAUAUGCUUGCUUUGUGCGAACUGGGAGGUCGCCAUAGUGAGUUUUAUUGAGUGCUCGAAGAGGCUGCUUGAGGAGCUUUAACUUCUGAUGGAAUCGAGUCAGAGCUGUUCUGGAAUGAAACAAAGCUGCCGAAGUGUCCCAAACGCCUUUGAUAGUAGGAAGGAAAUCGUUGUGUUCCGUCAAGUAGUUGAAGAAACGGAAUGGUUUCCUUGCUUCGUUAGUGGUACCAGUAAGUCUUAUCAGGCAUCUCGCAUGAUCGGAAAUGCCUCCUGCAUCAAAGUGAGCACAAGAUUGAGGAUACCGACUCAGCCAUUCUUGAUUAACCAACGCUCUAUCCAGUUUUUUGCCAAUUGGGUCCCCUUCUCUUUUAUUCCACCAAGUAAACAUGGCCCCUGUGUACGGCAAAUCCAUCACUGAACAAUCAGUUGUAGCUUCCUGAAAAUGUCGCAUACCUACUUGAUCAGUACGAUAAUCCAGAGCACGGGAAUGUUCACUAGAAGCUAGUGUGACAUUAAAAUCUCCAAGUAAAAUCCAUGGGAGUGCCAGAUGACUAUAUGCAGCCCGUGUACCCCGCAACUCCUCCCACAGCUGCACUUUCUCAGCGGCAGUAUUAAAAGCAUAUAUAGCAGAGCAGAUAAACUGGUCCCCUGUGCUUGGUAUCUGUAUUGCACAUGUGAUGACUUGAGCACUCAUAUGCAGCUUCGUUACUACAACCUGAUCACUCCAACAAACCCAAAUCCUCCCCAGAGGAUGGUAAGCAUAAUUCGUGAGAGAACUCCACUGCGGUAAUGCCGCUAGCAUACAUCUUUGAUGAUUACCUUCCUGCACCCUCGUUUCCAGUAAACACCCGAACAAAGGCUUCUCAGCUUGAACCCAGGAUCGAAGAGCUCUAUGCUUGCAUGGCAUGUUGAAGCCACGCAUAUUCCAUGCGUAGAAGGACGUCAUAUCUUCCUAACGGAAGAUUUUUUGGAUGUGCCUUGUUUACCCACAUACAACAAAUCCUUAGCACGAAUCACUUUACUACGGGAAGGUUUAUGAGCUGAACCAGCUGCAAUUUUCUUGCCUCUGUGAGACGCCUGCGUCUGUUGCCUGUUCUUCCCCUCUUCUUUACUUUCUAGAAUCUCACCCUCUUCAGUCUCCUUUCCAUACUCAUCUUUAUUAUCCUCCUCUUCUUCCUCAUCAAUGUCCUGUAAGGGACUAAACCGAGAUGGUGAAACCACCAGUUCUUCAUCUGCUACCAAAUCCUUACCCUGCUUCUUCCCUUGAACCAGUGCCCAACCUUCUGCUACACUUGCCCGAAACGCCUCCGUCGUAGGCUCAGAUAUCUGUAUGGCCUGCAAAUCCCCCAUACCGAAAGUCUUCUUUUGUGCAGUGUCCUCUUUUUGAUGAUCAAUACCCUUAUCAGUCUCUACUAACUCAGCGACUUUAUCAGAUGACGGCUUAGGAGUGAGAGCUUCUAGGUCGUGUAGCAACCUCUCAAUCGUGCCUUCCACACUGAUAGCUUUGCCUCCAUCUUGAGGUAUAGCAGCAAAGUUAGAGCUUAAAGCUUUAUCAUUUUCUUUAGUAAGAAUUUUGAUUUCCUUACUCGAACAAUCCUGACCUUUAUGCCCCCAUUUUUUGCAGACAGUGCAACGUGAGGGCAACCAAGGAAAGGAAACAUCAAUCUCACACGUACGUUCAUCCUUGUCCCGAAAUGAAAUCUUCUCCACCAGCUCUUGAUGAAGAUUAACCUCCACCAGAACCCGAGCAACAUCCAACCGAACACAUUUCUCAGUAUUUGGAUGGAGCUUCACAAAUUUACCCGCUGCUUUAGACAGGCACCUCAAACCUUUGUGGGAAUAGAGAUUAUUAGGUACACCCCUUAAAUCAACCCACAGUGGCAUAGACGAGAGAUCCGGAGGGUUAAGAGCAGACUCCGGUGACCAAACAUUCACAACCAGCGGUAUGUCCGCAAUGUGCCAAUACUUUCUCUGAAUAACUCUGGCUCUCAUCUGACUGUUUUCAAUCCUAAACAAGACUGUAUUCUUCUCAAUGAACUGUACAUCGAUCCUAGUACCACCUUUAGGAGCAGCCCAGAUACGGUUGACAGUAGCGUGGAUUGAACCUACAUGGGGUGCAUCUCCAAUGAAAUAUCCCACAACAUAGCUCUUCCAAAGCAGUUCAGCCUCAUCAAAGAUCGCAUCCGGUAUCGCCAUAGAGGCAACCCCGUUAACGAUAUCAAUAGACGCCUCUGCCUCAACUCCAUCUUGCUGCCUCUUCACCCACGGAGAAGACCUUGUCGGAGCCGGCACAGAACCAGAAUCACCUUGCUCCUUGGAACACACCGGGGCUAUGCCCACCAGUUGAUUCCCCAUUAAACCAUCUUCCACUCCUCCCGUGUGCUUUGGUGAGCCCUCCUCCUCGCAAAUCUUACUCAUCUCAACCAAACCCAUCUCCUCCCCUCCCGAUGUCUCCUUCGUCCUCUCCAGAUCCGGUAUCGACCUAGAGACCAAUCGUGCUUCUCCAUCCGUGAGAUUUUCUCCGUCGCCGUCGCCUAUUAGGGUUUCGUCGCCCAUGUUUUUUUAUUUCCUCAGAUCCAAAUCAUCAAUUCUAUAUAUAUAUAUAUUUUAAUAUCCUACUAUAUAAAAGGAGCUAUUUUAAAGGCUUCUAAAGUGUGCCACAUAUGCAAAAAAUUCCUGGCCAGUCAAUCUAACAGCUCAUCUCAAACUGGGCUGAUAUUCAUGUCAAUUACGAAGCCCAAACAAUUUAUUUAAAUCCCAGUCAAUACUGAAGUCAGCCCAAUAUCCAUUUACGGUAUAUGAUACCAAGAAACUAAGAAGCUCAUUCUAUUUUAUGAAAUUACAUGCUUUUGUUUAGUCUUUCGCCACAGUGACCGGAGGCGUGUUGAAUCACAAAGCUUCUCACGCAUCCCAUUAUUAUACUAUUUCAAUUGAGGUUCUUAGUGUUGUUCUAACUUAUAUUUAAAAAUAAAUUUUAUUAAAUGUUAUAGAUUUUACUAUUAUCUUAAUAAAAUUUAAUAUAGAUUUGAUAUAUAUUAUAUCAAAUUAUAUAAAACUAAUAAAAAUGAUAUAAAAUUGUAUAAUUAUCAAACAUUUGGCCUAAACAAUAUUUUUAAAAUUUUGUAGAUAUAUAAGAAACUAAAUAUCAUACGAUUAGAUAUUAGAUGUUUAAGAAUUGCAUAUUUUUAAAAGCUUUAGUAAUACAAAUUGUAUAAUUAUAUAAAAAUAAUAAUAUUACUAAAUCUGGAAUGGUAUAUAUGAAUAUAUAUUUAUUUUAUAGAUGAUGCAUAAGAUAUUACCAACAUUAAAUAAAAUUAUCCGUCUCAUGUUUAUUUUUUUAAUUGUAGAGAUGACAUGUAGCAAAAUGCCCAAAAUGACCCUAAUACCCUAGAUAUAUAGAAAAUAUAAAAAUUUGAAAUAUAAUACAAUAAUUAUUUGUAGAUAACUGGUACGUUUAACUUUGUGGGACAAGGAGACGUCUAAUUUCAGGGAGUAAAAUCGCAUAUCUACCAGAAAAAACUAAAUCGUAAUCAUCACAAGUAUCAUUCUACGGUUACAUGAAGGUAAUAAACUAAACAUAAAGUUUAUGUCAAACUAAAUUCUUACAAAUAUUUCAUUUUUUCAGGGAAACUAUCACUCACAACCACACCUGGAUCGCGCUUCUACUUUGACAACAAUAUUGAUAUCAUACAACGCUUCCAAAAGAGGAAUAAAUGUCUAUCCUAAGCCUCAUAGCAAACGACACCAGUCAACUUUUUUAAAAUUUACGUUACAGCUUUCUACGUCAAUUAAAUAGGCACACUAAAAUACUAUUUUCUCUUACGAAUAUUAAAUUCAUCAACAUAAUUUAUUAUUCAAACUUACUUUAGUUUAUAAAAAAAAGUGAUCACCGCUUCCAACGUCUUCGCAUUAUAAAAGAAACAAAACUUAACUUACACUUUCAGAAACUUUAAAACUUCCAAUUUUAAUUAAACUGUUCUUUAAUUAAACAUGUAAUCCGCGCGAAGCGCGGACACGGACUCUAGUACAUCUAAAAGUAUUUAGUUUACUCUAUUGUUCUUCUUAGAAAUAACAUGCUUGCCUAUUUAAUAAGAAAUUUCUUAAUUGAUGUAAUUAAUUUUUAUCAUAAUUGUUUUAAAAAAUUUAUUAUAAAAGUAUGUAAAAUAAAUUAAUCUGAAUUAUACCGUUGAAAUUAAAUAGAAUACAUUAAUCAUUUUUCCUUCUUAAGAUUUUUUUGAAUACUUUGGUACUUUUAUUUUCUUAAAUUUAUUGAUUUAAAUAAUUCAAAAAAGUGUAUACAUUGGUACUCUUUAGAUAUAUAUCUAAAAUUAUCAAAUAAACUAUGUCAUCCAAAUUUAUUAAGAUUUUGAAGCAAAUAUUAUUGUUAGGUUUUGGAUUAUAAUUGGUGGCGGUUUUAUUUCUAUUUGAUUACAUUUUGAAUAAUAUUUAUGUACAUUGGUUUAAUUAUAUAUAUGAUUAAUUAUGAUUUACUUAAAAAAUUUAACAUAUUUUUUAUUUUAAAAAAUUAAUAUUUUCUUUAGUAAUAUUUGUUUUUAAAAAGAUAGAUUGUGUAUAACAAAUAAGAUUCAUUCCUAGACUCAUUCUUUUAAAUAAAAAAUUUUUGUUUUGAACAAAUUUAAAAUAAUAUUAUUCUAAUUAAGUUUUAGUUUCUUUUAUAAAUUCAUGUAAAAUUUAUUAAAACUAACUCACAUAUUUUAUUUAUUUAAAGAUAUUUAUAUGUAUAUUCAAAGUACAAAAAAAAAUAAUGAAAGAUGUAAUAUUCACAUAUAUGAUAAACCAUCAUCAAAAGAGAAAAACUAAUUUUAUUUAUGUAUAAUAUAUUAGUAUAUUUUUGUGUUAUAUUUUAAAACAGGAUUUUAGUUUGUAUAUUAGAAAAUUAGAAAUGACUUUUAUUUUUUAUAUAAAUUUAUGUUAAUAUAUCUAAAUGAUUGAACAUAAAAAAAUAUAAUAUUAAUUUAUUAAAAUAUUUAUAUGAAAUAGUUUAAAUUUUGAUUUAAAUAUUAUUAGUAUGAUAUAUAUAUAUAUAUAUAUGAUUUUUCAUUCGAAAAAGACUUGUGAUUAGAAGAUGAUUUUAAAUAAUUUUAUGGAAUAUUAAAUGUUUUGUUAAAAAUACUUGGAUUAAAUAAUAAGAAGAUAAAAGAAAUAAAAAAAAAUCUUAAAAUAAGUGAUGAGGUGUUAACUUUUGGUACACCACUUGCUUAGAUGGCUUCAUUAGAAAAGAGAAAAUUCAACUUUAUUAGUAUAGAUAGAUUGAUAAACAUUAUAACAUGUGAACUAUGUUACGUGUAAUCACUAAAAUGAUUUUUAUAGUUUUUAGGAAUAUAUUGGUUCAUUUAAAUAUAUAGUAUAUUUUUUACUAAACUAACCAUUAAAAAUAUUAUUUUUAAAAUAAAAACUACGAAACUACAUAAUGUGAUUAAAAUGUAUAAUGAUUUUGAAUAAUAAAAAGUUUGAUAACAAUUUAUUUAAACUCUAUCCAUUUUGUUUAAUUUAGUAUUAUUAAAAAAUUAAAAAAAAACACAUAACUAUAUAAUAAAAAUUUAAUUUUUUCUUAUAUAUCACAUUUUGAAUUUUUUAAACAUUAUUUGAUUUGUUUUACUUUGAAAAUUUACGGAAAUCUGAAAAACAAGAUAUCCAGAAAAUAUACGAAUAAUUGCGGAUAUUAUAGAAUACUUAUGAAUAUUUCGUCCAUUUUAUUUGAUACAAAUAAUGGAUAAAAUUUGAUACAAAUGUUCUUUAAAAUAUUUAUUUUACAUGAUGUAUAAAAUAAGUAAUGAAACUAUUUUGUAAAUUUUAAAUUUAGCUAACAAUAAUAAUAAGACAAAACUUAAGAAAAAGUUAUCAUUGUCAUAUAUUUGUUGGUUUAAUAUUUUAUAACCAAUGAUGUGCAUAGAAUUUAUUAAAUUAUAUGUUAAAAUAAUAAUCAUAUCAAUAAUAAUCUAAAUUUAAUGAAGAUAUACAUGUAUUAGUACAUCUUUUGGAGCGUAGCGGAUAUCAUGUUCCCAAAAUUUUAGUAUUUGUAUUAUUUCGAUUUUAACAGAUAUUAAUUUUUAGUAUUUGCUUUGGUUCAAAAAUUUACGUUUAUCCGGAUUUUUGGAUCGAAUCGAAAUGAAUAAUGAAUCAAAUCAGAAUUUUAAUAAAAUGCCUAGUCCUGUUGAGCAUCAUCUACUUCGAGGAAUACUUUUUGGGGAACUUUGCAUGUUGUUCUAUUUUUGAGAAAAUUGAUAAAUUGAUGAAAGGAAAUAACAUAAAAUAUUUGUAAAGAAUAUAUUUGUAACAUUCUGAUUUCUGGUAUAUAUGUGGAAAGGUUUAAGAGAAUUGAUUUGGCUACCUAUGUCAUCAAAUGCGUUUACUUUUCCGUCACACAUCCAUUUAAAACUACAGAGUUAAGUGUGCUUGAGCUGCAGUAGUGAAAGGAUAGAUGAUCUAUCGAGAAGUGAUUCGGGAUACCGUGCAAGUGAGGCCAAAACACGGGAAAAGAUCAUAUGGUGAUUGCAGGGUCAGUAGACAAGACUUUCGAGCCUUGAAAAAAUUAACGCACAGCCUAACGCACAGCCUAUCGCACAGAACGGGCCCCACGGGUCGAGAGACCAGGCGUGGGAGGCCCAUUAGUCCUUGGGUUCGUGGCGUUACAAGUAGUAUCAGAGCAUAUUAGCCAUCUCGGUUCUGGAUCGAGAGGCGUUUUGAGACUUGUCGUGGUGUGCUACGGGGGCGUUGCGCUCUGUGAGUGAGGAUGAAUUGUAACAUCCCGAUUUCUGGUAUGUGUGGAAAAGGUUAAGAGAAUUGAUUUGGCUAUCUACGUCAUCAAAAUGCACUUACUUUUUUCGUCACACAUCCAUUUAAAAUUAUAAAGAUAAGCGUGCUUGGGUUGGAGUAGUGAAAUGAUGGGUGAUCUCUUUGGAAGUGAUUCGUUAUACCGUGCGAAUAAGGCCAACACAUGGAGAAAAGUCAUGUGGUGAUUACAAGAUCAGUAGACAAGACUUUCGAGCCUUGAAAAAAGUUAACGCAUCGCCCAUCACAACAGGACCCACAGACCGAGAGAGCGGGCAUGGAAGGCCCAUUAGCCGUGGAUAUUCGUUGCAUUACAAUAUUAGACUCUCAUAGAAAUAAUUUUUAUGGUAUAAAUAUAUUUAUAUAGAAAAUAAAUCAAUUUAACUAUAAACUAAUAUGGUUUUAGGUAAAAACAGUGAGUUUUCUCUCUAAAAGAUCUAUCUCCCGAGCGAAAACCCUAUCUCCUCCUUUAGGGUGGCCGGCGGUGUUUCUCCUCCUCCGUUGACUCCGGUAGCCCCCCCCCCCCCCUCGUUAUCUUCCUUCCUCUCGCCUCUCCUCUUCCUCCUUUCCUCCGUUUUCGCGGUGUAGAUAUGGUGCAUCCGACCCGGAUCUCCGCAGAAGCAAAGUGGAGGAGUGGAUAUGUGGUUCCUUUGGUCAAUCGGAGUGGCUGUGGUUCAGAUCUGGCGUCAGAUCUGGAUUUCUGGCGAGCUCUGUCUCUUUACUCUGCCACCUCUGUUUGAUCUUCUCGACUAGGGUGCGUAAGUUCGCUUGGCUGAAGGCGCUUCGAGUUCCUCAGACAAUGGAGAUGCAGUGUUUUUUCCGCUCGUCUCGGUUAGUCUCCGGUGGCGUAUUUUUUAACCCGAUCAACCAUUCUCGCAGGGGCUUCUAUGGUGUUUCUUUCGUUUCCACGCCGGUUUGGUCUGUUACGGGAUCUCCAUAGCGGGGACGUGUAUGAGGAGGUGAGGAGUCGGUCUUGUCAACCACGACUAACCUCUUUGGUGGUGCCGCAUGUGUAGUUAACAAGGAAUGUGGGUAGAUCUAGGGCUGCCCUGGUCCACUUUGCCUUCUGGUGGAGUAGUUGGUUAUGUCUUCGUAGUGCAGGUUCGAGAGUGUGUUGCGGCCCAUGGUUAGUGAUGUAUUGAGAUUUUUCAUGGUUUUAAGCAUCAUUUUCAUAUUCAUUUAGAUCAUUUUGGAUGCAUUUAGAGUUUAAUUAGGUACAUAGCAUAUGCAUUUGGUAUUUUAGGUUUGGGAAAGCUCAAGUUGAAGUUUGGAGAGUCUAAUGGGCACGCAUGAAAAAAGGUGCAAAAGAAGCUUCGACCGCAGACGAGUUCUGUGGACUAACCCUUUCUGCGGAUCAUGGGCAGUGAAAACAAUUUAAGCUGCACAAACCGUGGAUAAGGGCUGCGGGUAAUUUCAGUUCGCAGAAUGGUGGCCGAGAGGUUGAUUUGGUGUGGAUGAACGGCGGGUCACGGAUGCGGGUUGAGGCCAUCCGCGGGAUUGAACGAAGGUGAAGCGCAGACAUCAACUACGGACGAGCAUGGUCCGGGAUACGAGGCAGAGAGGUCGAGUUUUUAUGUGGACAGACCGCAGACCAUGGCCGAUGCCAAGACCAUCUAACCCAUUUCUCUAUCGGGUCAAACCCGGGUUUGUCGGGUCGACCCGUUUCGAGUUUCAAGCUACUAUAAAUACAUUUUACACCUAAUUUUAGACUUAUCUUGUUUUCUCUCUAAACACAUUGAUAUAUUGGAGAAAACUUGAAUCUUUAGUAAUAUAAUCUUUCUUUCUUGAGUAAUCUGAAUUUAUUUCAUCUUCUCAACAUGUUUUGUCUUGAAUCUAUCAUGAGUUUAAAGUUAAUCAUCAAGAUCAGUGAUUAGAUUGAUUAAGUAAAGAUUUUGGGUGUUUAAUGUUAGAUUUAUAUGUUUCCUUGCUUAUUGAAUGUGUUCAAUGCUAGAUUAGUCUUGAACUCUCUAAUCUUGAUCUCUAGACAUUUCAUACCCGGAAGGUGUUUGAUGAAAUGUCUGAACCAACUCAACUUUUCUCUAGCUUGAAUAACCAAAGAGGUUUGAUGUUAGGAUUGUUAGAUGGUUAAUAAACUUGAUUUAACUUCAUUUUUGAGUGUAUUAAGCCAAUGGGAAUUGAUGUUUAAUGCAUAAUGACAUAGGGAUUUGUAUCUUGGGAAAGAACUUAUCUAAUAUUGUGAUCUAGACUUAAGGAAACCUAUUGAUUGAUAACUUGUCAUCCUAUAUUGGAUCUUAAUCACUUGAAGUCAAAUUCGCAUGAGUCCAAUUUAUCUAUUGAUUGAAAGUUUAGUUAAUUGCUUUGCUUAGUUCUUGUUACUUGUUUCUAUUCACAUCAACUACACUAAUUGCACUUAGAUUAAGCAUUAUCUUGUAUUAUCUUUGCUUCAUGAUCACUUAGGAUUGGAUUGACAUCUAUCUAUACUACUUUGACAUAGGAUUGUUAAAAGUCCUUAUCAUUUAGUCCUUCGCCAAUAAAGCUUGACAUGUUUGGGGCGUGUUGCCUUGGUCUCGGGUGUAGUUGGUUUGUCCAUGAAGUCCGCUAACUGCGAGGACUUAGCAAGCUUUUUUUGACAACCCGAUCAUUAAGAACAGGUCACCGGGUACGCCUAAGUCUAUCGGGUCCGGCUCUCGCUAUAACUGCAGGUCAAUUAUGUGGCAAGCGAUGGUUCCUUUCCGAUGUAUUCUUUGUGUACUACGAUUGUGCUUGUAGUCAAUUCAUAUGCUUCCUUAGGUUUGAGUUUGUGUUAUUUUUCUUUCUGGUAAUUUUCUACAAGUUGUUUUUGUCAAUUCUGUAAAAAAUUCAAAAGCGGAUAAUAAAAUUUUUUAAAAAAAUUACCAAAAUAAUAAUCAACAGCAGCAUCCUGCCAUCGAGACAUCAUCGACGUUUAUAUCUGGUCAUAGGGUCGAUGACGUUAAUAUCCUUCGUAGGGCAAUGACAUUAAUAUCCUUCAUAGGGUCAACAACGUUUACACAUGCCAGUUCUUUAAAUAGUAAACAAAUAAAACUUGCGAUUGCAAUGUCUAAAUAGUACUUCACGAUUACGAACAUAAAAAAAAAAAAAACUCACAAGAAUGAGAAGUAAAUAAAAACUGUUUUUAUUAAGGAUGAUGUGAAUAUCAUCAUCACCAAAAAAUAAUUUUGAAUGAACCAUCAAUAAAUCCUUGCUUAUAAACUCCACUUUAUCACAAAAAAAAAAAAUCAAUGUGGUCGUCAAUAAUCUUAAGCCAUUCUCUUCAUCUUGAGAAAAGGCUGAUGCUUCUUCAUGAUUACGAAGGAUAUCAUGCAAUUCCACAGCCACAAGAUAUGCGACUAAUAUGUAUCUUCUCCUUUAAAAUGGAUUAGGAUCCUUAAUACUGAUACCAUAUAAAUUAAUAUUAGUAAAGUUAACGAAGUAUAUAAAGUUCCUUUAGUCUUUGGUUUGUUUAAGUGUUGACUACUGCUUCAAACCGGACGGUCUAUAUGCGAGGUUCCAAGACGAUGAUUUACAAAACAAUUAUACAAAUUAACGGAUAAAAAAUUUACAAGAGAUAUUUAGCAUGAUGAAAGUAAAACCGGUUAGGCAUUAAUUUUCAUAAGACGAUUUGGAUGCUGCAAUUAGACAUAAAUCCUCGUAAAGCAGAUACAAUUAUUUAUUGUAGAGUCGUCUAUGUAAUAACUUUUUUCUCAUUACUAUAAUAAAUCAGCAUUUUUUUUUUUUUUUUUGACAGCAAGACAUUCACAGACUCAUAUUGACUCUGUAAACCAAAUCGGCAACUCCGCAUCCAUAUGAACGAUGAAAGACGGUUGUUUUCUAGCACUACGUGCCAAGCUAUCCGCCCUUUGGUUCUCCGUUCGGGGAACAUGGAUGAUGUCUGAGUUGAGGAAGCUUCUUCGUAAAAGCUUGAUAUCUUCCAGAUAGGUUUCAAAUGCUGGUCAUUCUUCUGGUUCCAAAACCAUCUUCACCAAUUGAGAACAAUCCGUUGCAAACGUAACCUGAAACUGUCUUAGAUUCUUCAUACAUUCCAUUGCCCAAAUCAACGCCUCCAUCUCAGAAUGAAGAGGUGACAGACACGCCCUGACAUUCCUUGCUCCUAAUAAACCAUCAAAACCUGGUAAGGUACUAUACCAUCCUUGUCCCGAAAAAAGUUCAUUCUCUUUCCACGAACCAUCUAUAAAACACCAGCGUCCUGUAGUUUCUAAUGUAGGUCGGGCCUGUACUUGCCUCUCCCUUCUUUGAUCAGUGUUAACAUGUGCUUCAGCCCAAAGUGUCGAUUCCAGUUCGGCUAAUCUAAGUGUUUCCCUUGGAUCAAUAUCCAGAUUACUAAACACUUUAUUGUUCCGACCUUUCCAUAUAUACCAUAAUAUCCAUGCAAAUUGGUGGUCAUCCAUCUUUGGAGUAACUCGCCAAAAGAGAUGAUCCAUGUUACCAAAAAACGAACAAGUUGGAAAAAAAUCUGGACUCGAUGGUAUUUUAGAUAGUGCCCACACUUGACGUGCUGGAGGACAUUCAAAAAACACAUGAUUAAUUGAUUCCUCCGGGUCUCCACAUCGAGCACAACAAAUUUCUCCUUGUAUUCCUCUCCCCCGUAGAUUCUUCAUUACCGCUAUACAACCUGAAACGAGUUGCCAUAAAAAGUGCUUCAACUUCGGUGGGCACCGCACUUCCCAGCAAAAAGCUUUUAACGGAUCCACUGUGGGUCCAUAAAAAUCUGGUGGUUUUUCCUUAUCAGGAUAUACCCGUUCCACCUGAUACCCUGAUUUGACCGAAUAUUUCCCAUUAUUAGUGAAAUGCCAUCCAUUCCUAUCAUCCAUCUGAGUUCUACUUAAUGGAAUACUUUCUAUAAUUUGUGCAUCAUGAGGAUCCACCAAAGCCCUGAUUGCCUCAAGAUUCCAAGUUCGGGAUUCCAAAUUAAUGAGGGAAUCCACUGUAAGAUCCGGGUAACUGUUGUGAAGAUUUUUGUUUGCUGGUCUCGGGCGAGUGGCUGGGAUCCAAGGAUCAUUCCAUACAGAAAUAGAUGAACCUGUUCCCACCCUUUUAAUUAGUCCUUUACAAACCAGAGAUCUAGCAGAGAUCAUACUUCUCCAGCCAUAUGACGGGGAGUAAGAUCGGAUCGGUUCAAGGGGUGAAGCAUUCCUAUAGUACCGUCCUUUAAAGACUCUAGAGAAAAGAGUGUUUGGUUUCUCAAUCAGCCUCCACAGUUGCUUUCCAAGCAUCGCCGUGUUAAAAUCCAUAAGAUCCUUAAAACCUAAUCCACCAUUGUCUUUAGGGAGGCAUAACUUAUCCCAUGAUUUCCAAUGCAUGCCUUUUGUGCUCCCUCCUGGACUCCACCAAAAUUGAGCUACUGCACUCGUUAAUUUUUUAACAGUAGCUUUUGGUAAUCGAUAAACAGACAUGACAUGAUUUGGCAGAGCCGUAACCACCGACUUAAUAAUCACCUCCUUCCCACCUUUAGUAAAAUAUCUAAAAGUCCAUCCAUUUACCCUCUUAUUCAAACGUUCUUGAACAAAUCCGAACACUUGGACUUUAGAUCCCCCAAGGCUUUCGGGUAACCCUAGAUAAGAUCCCAUUCCUCCUAAAUUCUGAAUACCCAAAAUAUCCCUCAACUCUUGUCGACUGGACUCUUCAAUCUUAUGACCAAAUUGAAUUGAAGAUUUCUGAAAAUUUAUUUGUUGCCCGGAAACAGCCUCGUACUCUUUUAAAAUCCUGAGAAUAGUUUGACAUUCUUCUCUGUUUGCCUUGCAAAAGAAAAGGCUUUCGUCGGCAAAUAAUAAAUGUGAUAUUGCCGGACAAGCUCUUGCUACCUUCAUACCGGUUAAUUGUUUUACCCUCUCCGCUUUUUUGAUAUUCACAAUUAAAGCCUCAGUACAUAUAAUAAAUAAAUACGGAGACAAAGGAUCCCCUUGACGUAGACCUCGCUGGGGAAUUAUAAGGCCUCGCGGCUGGCCGUUGAGGAGGACCCUAUAUUGAACCGAAGAAAUACAUUCCACCAUUAGAUUGAUCCAGCGAGGAUCAAACCCCAUUUUGUUAAGAAGGGCCUCAAUAAAACGCCACUCUAUCCUAUCAUACGCCUUGCUCAUAUCCGUUUUAAUGGCCAUAAAUUUAUUUUGACAUGACUUAUUUGUUCUCAGACCAUGAAACAUUUCCUGAGCUAUAAGAAUAUUAUCCGAUAUUAACCUUCCUGCCACAAAAGCCGAUUGCGUCUCUGAAAUUAAUCGUGGGAGGAAAAUUUUCAGUCGUUGACACAGAACUUUCGAUAUAAUCUUGUAACCUACAUUGCAUAGACUUAUCGGCCAUAGUUCCAUCAUCCUUGUAGGUCUCUCUACUUUUGGAAUCAUGUAAAUAUUAGUAAUAUUUAAUCGUGGAUCCAAGUUGCCUGUAACCAAGAAAUUAUUCACCAUCUCAACCAAGUCCUUCUUAAUAAUAUGCCAGGAGUGCUGAAAAAACAGGGCUGUCAUUCCAUCCGGGCCUGGCGCUUUCUCUGGAUGCAUCAUGAAUAAAGCCUGACGAACCUCUUCCUCUGUUGCUGUUCUCAAUAGUAUCUGAUUCAUUUGGGGGGAAAUAGACGGCACUAUCUCAUCCAGAAAAUUAUCAAAGUCCGUUGGAUUUGUAGUAUUAAAAAGACCAUCAAAAUAAUCCACCGCCACCUUCUCAAUCCCAUUUUCCUCUGUAAUCCAAUUUCCGUGUUCAUCAUGGAGUCCCACUAUUUUAUUACGGACCCUACGCUGCUUAGUCAGAGCAUGGUAAAAUUUGGUAUUAAGAUCUCCAGAUGAAUGCCACAUAUUCCGGCUUUUCUGAUGCCAAUAUUCCUCUUCAUCUUUAUACGCCUCUUGUAACUUUCUGGAUACCUCAAGGAUGUCCUCUUGUGAUCUACUAUUAUCUGACUGGACCUCCUCGAGUGCAUGUUGAAGAUCUUUAAUUUUAUCAUUUCCGUAUGGUUGAUUAUAAUACAGCAUUAAAAAACAUGUUUUCUAUUAUCUUGGAGUUAUAUCCCUUAUAUACUAAAACAUAAGUCACUUGACCAACAAAAAUUUGCCAUGUGUAAUUUCUUACAAACGCUUAAAAAAAUAAAAUGUUUUUAAAAAAUUAAAAUUUAACAUAUUACAAAAAAAUUUAUCAAAACUCUCUCACGUCCGUUUAGUUUUAUGUUUUAUGUAACAGCAAAAAAAACUUUCCUAUUUUUUUCUUUAACUGUUAUCGGGACACGUUCAAAAAUUCAGCAACUUGUCUAUAUAACAUUCAAUCAAAAUUUUAUCCUUAUUUUUUCUCUCUUCUUCUUCUCUAUUGAUUCAUCUUAUUUUCUUUUUUUAUAACAAUUUUCUAUCAUUCUUUCUUCAAAAGUAUAAGUUGAAGAUUCUAUCAAAUUAUACUUCUAUUUUAUAAUUUGAUUUUUCACAAGGGAAUGGAAAAUCACAGUUUUGUUUCACAAAGUACAACUGUCACAGACAUGAAGUUAUUCUCAAUGUGAAAAUCUAUAUUUUUAUGGAGAAAAAGGUAAACACAUUUUAUUAUGAUAUGUAAAACUGUUUAAAUAAAUGAAACUCAGUUUUGUAUAGAUUUUUAUAUAGCAGAAAUAUAAUUCAAGCUUCUCUGAAACAAAACAAGAUAAAAAUUAAAAGGGAGUUAGAAAAUUGAGAGUUAUGUUAAUUUCUAUUAUGUCAUAUAUGUGAAGCUCGGUAUGGAGAAAUAUUCCAAUUUAAAUACUAAGUAUUUAUGUCUAUAUAUAUAAAAGAAGCAUUGUAUCUCUCCUGGGCAUGCCAGCUCAGAUGCCACGUCGGAAAUAGAAGCUCUCUCGCGCUGCCACGUCGGAUCCGCACCGUUUCACUUAAGCGUUGCUCUGUCCGAACGGGCUUCACGUGGGCUUCGUCACGCGCUAAUCAAAUGUUUUCUGUCGCGAGGCCCGUCCGCAUACGUCUUCUACGGGGAACCCUAAACAGAUGCUCCCUUCCUGUUCUUCGUUCGUCGCCUAUCGCCGCAGCGGCUGUCUAGAACCUGUAACGGUUUUGCUUUCAAUCACCUUAAAUCGUCUUUAAUUCACCAAUAAUGGAGUUUCAAUAGGAUGUAGUCUUGAAGAAUCUAUGUAAGAAGCUUCGUUUGCGUCUUUACGCCUUCCUUUCUAAUCCUUUGAAACGUUAAUGGUUAUUUAUUCAUGGUUGUCUAAUCUAUGCAAGUUGGUCUCUCAGCACCUAUAAAAGGUAAGCCAUCUUUCCUUGAACAUCAUCCUCUCAAUCCGUGAUAACACCAAAGUUAAUUCAUUAUGUGAGUGGCUAACUCAUCAAUCCUCUGCUUUAAUGGAUUCUCUAGCUGCGACACAAGAAGUUACGAUGAACGGAGUCCUCAUCGGUUUGAAUCAGCCCUAGGGACGACAGAGUCGCGGAGAUCUUCGAUUCCGUACCUCUCAUUCCUCCUCUCGAGAUCUCUCGCUCAUCAUGGUCACUCUCUCUUCUUCUUCUUAUGAUUUUAAUAGGCUUUGAAAUUGAACUUUGAUAUUGGAUUACGGAUUGUGGAGUUUUUGUUUGUCUACGAAAUGAAAUUGUAUUCUUGACCUUCUGAAUAUUGCUUGAUUGUCUGUAAAUCUUAUUGUUUUGUCUAUUCUAACAUAAAAAAAAUUAGGUCUUGGAUUGUUUUGGUUUAACCACAAGCGCAACAUUUUUACUAGAUCUUUUUGAGAGAAAUUUAGUGUUUGCAUCCAUAUGUGUUUUUGAUGCCAAAAAGAUAAUUUUUGUUUACUUAUGUGUUUUUUAUGCCAAAAUAUAGUUUUCUGUCGUUUGUCUGUGUUUAGUUAGAGGAGCAUUACGUGGCUAUGUGAGGAGAUGGAGUUGAGAUGAGGAUGCUAGCUCUUACAGCUUUGGAUGUUCUACGGUUCGUCAGAUUUUUACAAUUGAUACAGGUUUUUGUGUUUUGAGUGAACUUUUGACGCUGAGGAUAUGCAAGAGUUCAAUGUCUAGCAUGCAGGACAACAGAUGACUAAUUGCAAUAAGCUGGCUAGACUUGAUGGAGUUCCAUACCGUGAUUUCACUGGAUAGGUCUUUGGUUUUUUUUUUUUUGGAAAAGAAAAAAAAUGUAGUUUGCAUUUUAGGGGUUAACAUGUUAAACUCAAGCAUCUUUCUUAGUUGUUGUUUGUCUUGCGCUGUUGGCAGGAGAGGAUUUGACUAUUCUCUAUGGGUUCGAAUGUAAGGAUAAUGUUUGAGACCAACACACAAAACCCACCGGGUCAUAUAAACGAACAGUGUCACUUACCAAAUAACCAAAAUUUUAGCAAAACACCCUUACAAAGCUGCAGCGCAAUAUAGCGUCCCAAUAAAAGCCACCCUCAAGAACUGCAUACUAACCUCCCUGCAACCCACGUUAGUCAGGAUAGUUGUUUGCUUGAACUCUGACCUCACAGCACCUUCUGUUUUUUUUUAUCAGCACCUACAACAACUAAAACAAUGGAAUCAGAAGCAGAGCUUGAAGGUCAUUUGUUUGAAUCAUCAACCUUAAACUGUUGCUAUUAAACCAAUAUAAACCCGGUAAGGACUACAUUAUUACUUUUAAAAAAUUAGGAAUCACCCAACAAUUAUGUUGUCAACGCUUAGAACACAUUUAUAUUAAAAGGAACAGUCAAAUUCCUUAAAAAAAAGUAAUAAUUUCAGUCCACUAUGGAAACCAUGGUAUACUUCUUAUUGAACCAAAUGACGUGUCGAAGUGUCGAACCCGGACAUGGAACCAUGACCAUGGGUAACAAAAACUCAAAAUACAUGUGUUAAUAACGAAGCCAUUACACAAUCCACACGUCACAUAUCAAACAUACAAUAGUACAAGCUUCUGUUGGGGCUUUUAGAAUAGCGCAAAGAAACAAAAAAAAAAGAUUUUGAACAACCUAGCCAUAACAAAGUACCGCUUGCAAUCGUUUUUAAAUUGUGCUUUAAGGUUUUAAGCAACAAAUGCCACUGACCGACAAAUAAACAACAGACCUGGGAAACUGUGAGCUUACCACGUCUCUCAAUUUUCUCAACACCAGUUUCAAGAUCAUAGAAAGUAUAGACCAUAAAUAAUUUAAACUUUUUUAUUCUUUAAUAUGAUGCAUUUGUAAAAUAAACAAAAGAGUUUUUUUGGUUGAAUAAAUUUAAAAUUCAAUUCAUGAAAAGGAAAAAUUUCUCAACACCUCAUAAACCGUGCAAUAUGAAUAACACAGUGUGUUGACCCCGCACGUUGCAGCCCACGACCGCAGUCAGAAGUGCCGAAAAUCCUACACUCCACUGAUUUAGGUGGAGAUAUUAUGGUGCGUAGACUGCCAACUACAAGUUUGAUUAUGGAAUAUGUGACAUGCUCCGAUCUCCGAACGACGACAAUGGCUGCAUGUGACUUAGAUUCCAUCUGAAAUAACAAAUAGAAGUUCCACAUGUAGGCUUAUGUCAAAGCUUAUGAUCUCCUUAUUUCUCACACAAAUGAGGAACUACAACAAUGAGGCUGUAAAAAUGGCGGACGUCCCGCCUACAUUCUAAAUGCAUGGAUCAUUAAACAUCAUUUUAGAGAAUGUAACCACCAAACUUCACAGUUCAUGUUAUUGCCACAAAGAAAUCUUUAAAGACGUCCGGAUGACCGAGGUUAGAGCUACACAUUUACGUUAUACAUUUUUAUAUACACGAGUCUGUUUGCAGUGAAUAAUUGUCGUAAUUUUCAUUGCAUAUUUGAUAUUGGGACGACUCAUUUCUCUCAGUGAACGGAGAGACACAGCGUAAGCGUCGAAGUGGACAAGUUCUUCUGCUAUCCCGAUCUUAUUUUUAAAAUUUUAAUAACAGUUUAAUAUCAGGACAUACAGUCAUUUAGUUGGUGACCUUAUUACACUUACUCAAAACAUCGUCUACGGAUCCUCGCAUCGUAUCGUUUAUAUAGUCUAUCCUCUGAUUUGUGUUUAUGUGCUUCACAUAUUUUUUAAAUGAAAAUACUCAAAUAACACUAAUAUAUAGGUUUAUAAAAUAUAUAUGUUUACAUACACGCAUAAAUAUAGUAGCAAUUUUUCCAGAACAGAAAACUAAUCUGCACACAUAUAAUAUAGAUAGAUACAUAUAUAAUUAAACAAUUCAUUCCAACGAAACAAUUAAAAUUAAAUUAUUUCAUACGGAGAAGAAAAAAAAACAUAGUAUCCGUUCCUUUGUCAUUACCAUUAAAACACUAUUUAAUUUGUACAGCUGAAGCAAUAGUUGCUAUUAUUGUCCAGACAUCCAUAAUCCUAAAUUUAGUAUAUCUACCAACUACUUAACAACGUAUAACAAAACUCGGAUAAACCAUCAAACUCCCAUGCAUUCCUCCCUCCAACAGCAAAAAAAAACCAUGAGACAUAUGAACAACCAAGGUUUAAUAUACUAAUACUUUAGUUUCAAGAUCAUUUUAUAAUCCACAACCCGCCCGUAGGGCGGGCCGAUCCUAGUUUAUACUAUUUUAAAGUUUGUUAACUCUACUAAUAUACCUAUGAAACUUUUUGCAGAUAGAUAAUUUGGAUAUGAAAACGUGUGUGCAGAUAUAUUCAUUUAAGAGAUUUUAAUUACAGAUAACAUACAUUUGAUAUUAAAUAUGUUCUAUGAAAUCUAUACUUUUAUACAAUGUGCAAGUUUAAGUGACUUUGAUUUGAAAACAAAAUAUGUGAUUAAACUAGAAAUUUAUUUUGAUAUGUUGAUAAUCAUUAUAGUUUUAUGAUCAAAAUUUUUGGAAUACAGUAAAAAUAAUUGACAUGUGCUUCGCAGGGGAGGUAAUACUGGUAAUCUUAAUAUUUAGGGAGUAAUAUUACAGUUAGGUAUAAUUAUUUAUGAGAAUACUACCGGGGGAAAUGGUCAGGAUAGGUGACAACGGUGCAGUGGAAAUAAAUGUUCCCCGCACUUGUGUGAAUUUAUGAUGAAAAUACUUUGGCUAUAGCAUAAUAUUGUAUAAGGAGAACACUUAAAUCAAACCAAAAUUUUUUGGUGAAGAACUCAUUCGAUGCGAAGAGCAAAACCCACGGGCUGUACUCCGGAGUUAUUAAUGAAUAUGACUACAACGACAUCCUCCAUGUUCCACAAGAACAGAUCUAUAACGCGCAACUUCUCAACACACAAAAAAAAAACUGAACAAGAGGGAAAUACAAGGAUUCCGGUAAACAAGGACUAAUUCCUGUUGGAAUUGUUAAACCCCUGUCCAACUCUAUAUUAUCUGAUUAGUACGAUAUUGUCCAUUUUGGACUUUAAAGGCUGGCCCGCAUGGAUUUACUUUUGGUUUCCUUCCCAAAAGGCCUCGUACUAUUAGAGUUGGACAUCUCUUUAUAUAUUAGACUUUCCUUUGUCUAAUAUCCGAUGUGGGACUUAACUUGUUAUCUCGCAUUCUCCCCCUCAAGCUAAGGAUCACAUCCAUCUCGCGUGUUUCCUUCGACGAAUCAUCUUUGGCACCACCUUGUACCGGUAAUCGCAUGGCUUCCUUUGAGAAUGUUUCUCCCACUACAUCUCUCGGUCCUUUGAGAUUGUCAUCACAUGUUCCAUGAUCAUCUUGACUGUUUCUGCUGAACCUCCCUUAUUCUUAUUUGAAGGGUAUUUUGGUCUUCUUGCAGAUCUUCGUCAAUCUGGUGCUCUGAUACCAAUUGUUGGGAUUGUAAAAUUCCAUGUCCAACUCUAUAUUAUCCGAUUAGUACGAUAUUGUCCACUUUGGACUUUAAAGGCUGACCCGCAUGGAUUUACUUUUGGUUUCAUUUCCAAAAGACCUCGUACUAUUAGAGUUUGACAUCUCUUUAUAUAUUAGACUUUCCUUUGCCUAAUAUCCGAUGUGGGACUUAACUUGUUAUCUCACAAUUCCACCACAAAAAAUUCUAAGAUAUAAGUCAAAACUACAUCUCCCUAGUUUUAUAUCAAGCAGAAAAGAUCUAUCUCACCAUUGAACUUCCAAACACUUAAAAUAACACAUGCUGAAGGACUGUCAAGACCAGCCACGCUAAAAUCUAGAUUCUCGAGAAGCCAACUGUUGAAACACAAAUCUCACUCUUGAAUCUUAAACCAACAGUCACAAAACUUCCUACAAUAUAAUGGCCAGAUUAUGAAACGUUUAAGCCCCACAACUUUGUCUUCACAGACCCAAACAAAUCUGCUUUCUUCUCCUUAAUUUCCUUUCUCCAUUCUUGCAUAUCUCCUUUAGACAUCUCUCUUGGUCUAACUUUUCUUUUCUGUGCAUUCUCUCCACAAAACUAGGCCAAAAGAUUUAUACAGUGUCUUACUAACUCUCAAGGCUACCAUUGGUCCAAACCCAAAACUUGUGAUAUUAUAUUGUCACUUAAAAAAACAUAACAGUCAAUGUCUGUUUCUUGCCUAUGUCAAUCUACUCGCUAUAUAAACUUUUGAAUUUUACUACAAUCACAUCUUCUGGUUUCCCCACUAGAAAAAUAACAAGCUAAAACUCAUUCGAGAAUUUAUCAAAAGUUUUUCUUAUUAGCUAAGAGCUAAUUAGGAAUUUUUCGUUCUAUUAAAUAAAAUCUACCUCAUUGCUAUUUACAAUUUUUUUUCAAAAUGAUAGUAAUAAUGAAUUAACCAAUCACUACUGCGACAAACAAUCCAACGUUUUUCUCACUGAAAUGAUUUGAAGAGCAAGCCACCGUAAAAAGCCACGGGUUCCAUUCAGCGAAACCUCUCCCAAAAUAUCAAUCAAGACUAUAAGACAAGAAAAUGUACACGUCACUUUUCUUUGCGAAGGCUAUAUAAACCCAUUGAUUGGUACAAUGUUCCAUACAACACAAACACAUACAUCUACAAAUUAAUCAUGAAGCAUAUUGGGCUCACAUUAGUUUUUCUUCUAGCUGUGGCGACUUGCAAAGCUGAUGAAGAAAUUACUUGCAAAGAAACACUGUCAACAUGUGGUCAUACUGAUCAAUUCAACAGUGGCAGUUUCGAAAAAGACUUCAUCUUCGGCGUUGCAUCUUCUGCUUACCAGGCAUGUAACAAUUCAACCAUUAAUUAUUAUUGUGUUGCCAGACUUCACAUUUGACGUAUAUAGUAAAUCAUUAAAAACACUAAUACGUUGCAUGGUUGUUUCUAUUUAUUUAUUUAUUUCAGAUAGAAGGUGGCGUAGGUCGUGGACUUAACGUUUGGGAUGGCUUCACUCACCGAUAUCCAAGUUUGUCGUUUGCAUGGUUACAUAUGUAUAAUGUCUCUUAUAUGUUUCUAUACACUUAUAGUUAUGUAUUCAUUUACUAUCAGACAAAUCAGGGUCCGAUCAUGGAAAUGGAGACACUACUUGUGACUCAUAUUCGUAUUGGGAGGUAAAUUAUUCAAUAUAUACAUAUGAGUCAUAUGAUAUGACUUAUAUAUAUAUAUAUAUACUAUAUAUAAAAUAUUUAAAAAUAUUAUAUAUAAACAAAAUUUUCUAUUUUUAUAUCAAUACCAUUAAAACAAGAUCAUUCCUAACUUAUACCUAUUAAUGAAAAUUAUAUUUUUUUUCUCAAAAAUACCCUUAUUUUUACAAGAGAUUAAUAAAAUUCAUUAAUGGUAUUUAAGUCUUUUGGUUUUGGGUAUACAUAUACACCUAAAUGGAUCUAUAAAUAAUGUGCCUAUAUAUAUAUUUAAAAGAUAUACUAACUUUAAAUUUAAUAUAAGUAUAAAUAUAUUAUGAACUAUAAAUAAACUAACGAACAUAAAAAUAUUAUUUUCUUAAAUAUACGUAUCAAUAUUCAAAAUGAGAUCAUUUGAAUAUUAUAAAGAUUUUCAAUACAAACCAAAAUCAUAUAUCUUACACCAUGUAUCAUAUACAUAUUUGAAUAUCGUUUUUCCAUGUAUAAUGUUAUAUUAAGAGUGUUCAACAAUAUUUUAAAAACUAUCUUAAAAUCAAAAUUUAAAUCUAAAAUAAAAACACAAACAUAUAAUAGGUUAUUAAUAACAGAAAUAAACUAAUAUUGUCAUAUCAAUAAGAUUUUUUAUAUUAUCAUUUUUUAUUUGGAUAACAUAAUAAAAUUUCAUGAAAUUCUAAGGAAUCACUAAUUUAUGUAAUAUUAAAAAAUAUAUGAGUAAUUUAAUCAUUUGAAAAAAAAAUACUAUCAGAUAUUUUGUGUUUUAUCGGAUCAAUGGUAUCAGAUCGCAGGUUAAUAGUGAGUUUUUGGGUUUUUUACCUGGUGAUAUCAGAUUUUUAAUUAACUAAUUUUUCAUUAAAUCUGAACCGGAUUACAUACAAUGUAUCGGGUCUAUAGGUUCAACCAUGAAUCUAAGCCGGAUAUGAAAACAAAUAUUAAAACUCAAACAUUAUUAUAGAACAACUACCAUAUUUCGAACAAAUACCAUAUUUUAAAGAAAAAAACCUAAAAACUCAAUUGUUAUAGUUCGAAACAAAAAAUAAUAGUAGUUUAUAAAUCAGUUUUCGAUUAAUAAAUGAAAAACAAACAAAACCCGCGUUUUCUAAGCGCGGGUCAAAAUCUAGUUUUACUUUUAUUAGUUUAAAAAAUAAAAUCAUAAUGUAAUUGUUUUUAGUUUGAUUUAUUCAAGUUUACUUUGAUCUUUUAAUUUUCAUUAUUUAACUUUUGAUAAAAAUAAUUGAAAAGUUACUUUAUUAUAUUAUUCUUUAUUUAAUUACCAUUUUUAAAUAUUUCUAUAUGUACACUUAUUUUAAUAAUAAAAAUAUGAUUCAUAUAUUGAUGUAAAAUUUUAAUAUUCGUAAUUAUUAUUUAGGACUUAUAUAUAAAAACAUAUUAUUUUAAUAGAUAUAGAAAAAUUAUUAGGUAUCAUAAAAUGAAUAUUUACUGAGAAAAAAUAUUUUUGAUAUAAAAUUUAUUAGUUAUUACUAUAUUAUGAAACUUAUUAGGUAUCGUAAAAACAUAUAGAAAUUAUGAAUACUUACCAAAAUGAAUAUUUACUGAGAAAAAAUAUUUUUGAUAUAAAAUUUAUUAGUUUUUACUAUAUUAUGAAACUUUUCCAAAAAUAUAAAUCCGUAUAUAGAAAAUCAUCAUUAUUAUAUUUAAGAAAUCUUACCAAAAACAUAAAUCUAAAUAUAGUAAAUUUUACAUGUCACAAUUAGAUUUAUGUCAUGUCAUAUUUCUUUUACGCCAUGUCAUAUUUUUUGUGAAAGUUAAUGUAGUGAUGACACAUAUACAAAAUCACUUCUCAAAUAUAGUCUAGGGUAUAUAUAUAUAUAUAUAUGCUAACUAAUAUUACUCACUGAAUAAUCUACCAGCUACGUGUGGAUUGACAUGCGAUUGUAUAUAUAAACUGCAGAAAGAUAUAGAGGCGCUGGUCGAACUCAAUGCUACUGGCUACAGAUUUUCCAUUGCGUGGUCAAGAAUCAUUCCAAGUAUGUAAACAUUAUAGAUCCAUGUAUAUAAUAUACAUGUAUGUAUAUAUAUAUAUCGUAAUCUUCGAUUGUGAUUAUUUAGAAAAAGUAAAUAUAGUGUACAUUUAUAUGAACAGGAGGAAAGAGGAGCAGGGGUGUAAACCAAGAAGGUGUUAACUACUACCGCGGACUCAUAAAUCGCCUCGUUGAGAAGGGCAUAACUCCUUUUGUUACGCUCUUUCACUGGGACCUUCCUCAAGCACUACAAGAUGAGUAUGAAGGUUUCUUGGACCCCCAGAUAAUGUAUGCGGAGCUGUUUAUUAAAGAUGACAACAUAUAAAGAUUUGUUCUAGGACUAAUGAAAUGACAAUUAUGUAAUAUUCGCAGAAAUGAUUUCAAAGAUUACGCAGAUCUAUGUUUCCAAGAAUUUGGUGCUAAUGUAACGAACUGGAUCACGAUUAACCAGCUCUACACAGUGCCUACUAGAGGCUAUGGAUUUGGAUCAGAUGCACCCGGUCGAUGUUCUCGAGCUCUUGACCCUACAUGUUACGGCGGAAAUUCUUCAACUGAACCCUAUAUUGUUGCACAUCACCAGCUUCUGGCUCAUGCCACGGUGGUCGAUCUUUAUAGGAAAAAUUAUAAGGUGAUUUCUCCAUUAAUUUGUAUAAUGUGUAAUCUAUGAUUUAAUCAUAUUAUUGUGUAUAUAAUAUCUGCAUGACCACAGCAUCAAGGAGGUAAGAUUGGACCUGUGAUGAUAACUAGAUGGUUUCUUCCGUAUGAUAACAAUGAUCCAGAAAGCAAAGCUGCAACCGAGAGGAUGAAAGAAUUCUUCUUGGGAUGGUAUAUGUUUACAAAAUGAAAUAAUUUUAUUAGUAUUAUCUUAUGUAUAUACAAAUUGAUGAAAAAACAUAUGUAUCCACAUCAGGUUCAUGGGGCCGCUAACAAACGGAGCAUACCCUCAAAUCAUGAUAGACACUGUGGGUAAACGGCUUCCAUCGUUCACUCCAGAAGAAUCCAAACUCGUAAAGGGUUCAUAUGAUUUUCUUGGUCUCAACUAUUAUGUCACUCAGUAUGUCCAGCCAAGUCCUAAUCAUGUUGAUUGGGCUAAUCACACUGCCAUGAUGGACGCAGGCGUAACACUCACAUGUACCACUCCAUAUAAUUUCAUUUAUUUACAACCUUCCUUUUAAGUACUUUGUGACCAUUAAUUAUAUCAUCUUUGUGUUUACAGAUCGUGAUAUAAAUGGUCAUGCCAUUGGUCCACUGGUAUUUAUGCAUAUGAUCCAUACACCCAUAUUCUUUCAUUUAUUUUGAAGCAAUGUUCAGUUUUCUGAUUGCUUUUGUUUGCUUUCAUUUCUAAGUUCACUGAAGACAAAGUUGAUGCGGCCAAAAACACCUAUUACUACCCAGAAGGCAUUUCUUACGUAAUGGACUAUUUCAAAACCAAGUAUUAUAACCCGUUAAUCUAUGUAACCGAGAAUGGUAAGUUCUAUUGUUUAUCUCUAAAUUCAUCUCUACAUGUGAUUUAAAUUUGGUUCAAGAAAUUGACACAAAAAUAUUGUGGAAUUUUUCAUGAUAUGACGAUUUAAUUAGGAUUCAGUACCCCGGGUGAUGAACCCCGUGAGGCCGCUAAGUUAGAUUGCAAGCGGAUUGAUUAUCUCUGCAGUCAUCUCUAUUUUCUCAGUAAAGUAAUCAAGUGAGUUGAUGCCAGGGGCGUAGCCAGUGCAUGACCAAUGGGGGCACGUGCACCCCUAAUUUUAUUGAUAUUUUAAAUUUAGUAUGUAAAUUUUCAAAAAGAUCAGCUAGGAAAGAUGAUUAGAGUGUCUUGUGCACCCAUUGAUGUCUCAAGUUCGAUACCCCUUUUCACAUUUAUUUUAAUUAUACUAGAUGUGCACCCAUUGAAUAUUGUGUCUGGCUUCGCCCCUGGUUGAUGCUACUCUCAUUCCAGUGUUAUAUAUCAGGUAAUCAAGCGGACUGUACUCUCAUUCACUGGUCCUGCUUUUAGGGAGAACCAUGUCAACGUAAAAGGAUACUUUGCGUGGUCUCUUGGGGAUAAUUAUGAAUUCUGCAAAGGAUUUACCGUCAGAUUCGGACUCAGUUACAUUGAUUGGAAUAAUAUCACUGAUAGAGACCUCAAACAGUCUGGCAAAUGGUAUAAGAAGUUCAUUAUCACCAAGGACCUUCCCAAGAAAGAUUUUCUCCGCUCCAGCCUCACCUUCGAGAAGAAGAAGAAGUUCGCAGAUGCAUGAAAUACCCAUUAUCAAGAUCAUCUUCAUGUCUCCUCAUACUACUUGCUCCAUAGAUAAGGAGCUUUUUCUACCUACUGUACUAAAUAAAAGUUCCCAAUAAAAGAAGAUGAUCCAUAUUAAUAAAUACUACUUUGCAUACUAUGUCAAGGAAUGGACAAAAGAACCCAACCAAACUUAAUUUAAGGCUCAAACUAAAACCAAAAUUGAUAAGUAUUUAUACACUAAAUAUUUUGGGGCAGUUUCCAAAAAUAAUCCAAAAUGAAUUUGAAUGCAAAUCUAAAUUUUAAAUUCAAUCAAAUGCAAAAUAUCUGAUAUUCUUAAAAGAGGUUUUAAAAAACAAAAAAAAUAAAUAAAUAAAGGAUAAAACAAGAGGAACCGCUCCCUAAAAUAGGGCUUUUGGAAUUGAUAAGAACCUAUACGUGCCCUCUUGGUAUUG
rnacentral:lncRNA from 1 species